rnacentral:lncRNA from 1 species
UUAAAUAUUUUAUUUUCUUAUAUAAUGCAUGUCAGGGUACCAUUCUGGCCUUACAUAAAGCUGAUGGUCAUCUGCUGGCUGGUGAUACCGCAGUUUGAUGGUUCAUAUUAUGUCUAUCAACACCUAGUUCAUCCAUGCUUGUCCAUGGAUCCACAAGUUGUCAUGAAUUGGCUCUUCAAUGAAUCAAAAAAGAAGUUUCAUAGUAGAGAAACCUUUCUUGUUUCAGCAGACCAAUAUACUAAGGAGAAUGGACCUGAAGCUUUGGAGAAACUACUUGCUAGGAAGGUAUGCCAUUAUAAGUAGGAUUAUCAACAAGUCAAACAGAGUUUUAUUUGAAAUGUUCAGGUAAAAAAUGACUAUAGCAGGUCAUCUAAAAUCAUUUGGUCUAAAUUCAUGUAUAUAUCUAUAUAUAAUUGUGUUCUCAUUUUUUCACAUAUGCAUGUGCAUUUAGAUUUACAUAAUUAUAUAUGCAUAAUCAGAUUCAACUGUGAUAGCCCGGAAUUUAAUUCAGUAUUCGACUCUUCUGGGAACAUGUUGGUUAUGGUUUCUCUCUCACUGUCCUCUUCUUUACACAUGACUUUUCAGUUGAGGAGCACAAAGCCUAAUGUUGAAGUGAAAGAGAUCAAAGCACCUGCAGCACCGGAGAAAAAAGGGGAACAGGUAAGUACUCUAAUGUGGCUAUUUAAUUUCUAUGGAGGCAGAUCCCCAGAGAAAUGCUGUUCAUGUAAAUUACUGAUGCAUUUGAUUCAAUGGCCACGGUUUUAAAAGAAAAACCACUUUAUGUAUGUUUCUGUGAAUGAGAGAACAAGUUUAUGGAUUAAAUGAUAUUUUUUAUGGUGAAAUAAUCAAUAAUUUUCAAAAUAAUAAUACAUUCCUGCAUGUUUUUGCAAUUCAUGAAUUCCUUUUAUGAUUGAUUCUUCUCACCUUUUUUCUCACCUCAGUGGAAGUGUGAAGAGCCUAAUGUUGCUGAAAAGGAGAUCCAAGUAGUCAAAGUAACAGAGAUAAAAAAUGGGGGGGAUGAAGCAAAGAGGGUAAGUUUUGCUUUUUAUUUAUAAAGUAGGCUGUCUUCACACAAGGAUUAUUAUUAUUAUUUUAAGACAUGAAUGUUGAAUGAUUUUGGAAUUGUCCUUGAAUCAUGUGAAGUAUGAAUGGCCUAAUGCUGCUAAGGAGGAGGUCAAAGUGACAGAAGUAACACAGAGAACAUUUGGUGGUACAGCACAGUGGGUAAGGUUUCUUCUCAUAUUUAAAUGGCUCCUUAUAUUUCACUAGGAUUAAUUUUGCCCCUACAAACUAUUUGGCUACAAGUUAAGAGAGAGUUCCAGAUGCUGAUAAAUCUGAGACAUAAGUAAUGAACGAAUUUAGACACAUGCACAACUCUUGUGUGAAACACAAUGAGAGUGGAAAAUAGCUAAGUUCAAAAAUGGCCAAAUACUAUUUUGUAGUUCCCCCUACUGCUUAAGUAAUUUUUGUCAUCCUUUGUGAAUGGAAAAUGCAGUCCCUUCAGUAAUUCCAUUAUAUUCAUGACUUGGUGAAGCAUAUAACCAUUAGUGUCUUACCCUAAGUCGACCUUUAAUGAUGAUCCAUUGAGAUGGGUCUGACUUUUGUCAACCCUCUUAUUCCCUUGAUCAUAGAGGUGAAACUUAGGGGGCUUAACCCACUUUUCAAUCUUAUUGGAUAUAUGGCACGUGGUAUCCUCUUCAUCUUGAAAGAGUGAAGUGGUCAUACUCUUUCCUCUGAGUCCAUUGUAGCCAUGCACUUCUGGCUUAUUGGGCUGAGUGAAAGGAUUCCCUUCUGCUUCAAAUCAUAGAGAGAUAUGCCAUGGUCAGCCUCUUUAAUUCAAGGGAUUGAAGUACUCAAAUCCAUUUCUCUGUAUCCAUCUUAGUUCUGCAUUCAUGUCUCAUGGUUAACCAAGAAGAUCCAGCCUCCAUCCAUGAGAUCAGCAUCUGCAGGUUUAUGACACCACCCUUCCUUGGCAUAGGAAAGGGAUCAUUAAGCCGUGUGUCGGAUGACAGAAGUCAUCAUUCAGGUUAUCUUGAGAACUAAGGAAGUUGGAAUUCUAAUUAUUGCAUAUGGUUCUUGAUGUUUAGCCAAUAUACUAUAGGAUUUUAAGCAUCAUGCUCACGUGCAUUGUGGUUGUUUAUCAGCUAUAUGGUUUAUCAAAAUGAGGGACUGAUUAUGGUCAUAAGUACCUUUUUCCCAUUAAUUUCUUGCAUGUGCUCUGCUGAGAUUAUGUUUUUGACAGUCCAAAUCAGGGCAAACCAACAAACAGCUUUAUGUUAACUUUUACAAACUGCCACAUUUUCAGGUUAAACAAACAGAGAUAAAUCUUGGUGAAACUAGAAGUAAUACAACCUGUUCUGUGGAGAUAAAAGAAAGGGCAGCAGUACUGGUGGCUGCAGAAAUUGAGGCAUGUAGAGACGAUAGAACCCCCAAGAUACCUCUUCAUGAGAAAGUCCAGAAAGAGUGGGCUUGUGCUGUAUGCCAGUUCACAACCCAAACUGAAGCGACCUUCAAUUCCCACCUUCAAGGGAAGAGACAUCAGGCCAUUUCUGAGCAGCUGAGAGCCAAAAACCAGGCAACCAAAACCAAUUGUUCCCCAUCUGCUUCAAUGGCCAAGAAAUCUGAUCAGUCCACCAAAGAGGAGCAACCAAAGUGUACUUCCAACAAUCUGAAUUCCAAAAACAAUGGAAUCUCAGCUGCUUCAACAGUGAAGAAACUUGAUGAGACCAAAGAUGAUGAGCAACAAAAGUCUGCAUCUAGCAAUGGACCAAACCAGAAGAAUAACAAAAAGCAAGAGGUACAGACCAAUGAGCAAGGCCAUCAGAAGAACUCAAGGCAAACUGGUGAUGGAAUGAAAGAGUUGAGAUCAUGGUGCAAUAUCUGUAAUGUAAGCUGCACAAGGGAGCUUGACCUGGCCUCUCAUCUCAAUGGAAGGAGGCACUUUGAUAGGAUAAAGCAGCUGUCUGAAUUAUGGUGCAGUAACUGCAAUGUAAGGUGCAACAGUGAGGUUGAUAUGGCCUCUCACCGAAAUGGGAGGAGGCACUUGGAGCAGCUGAAGGAACAGUUAGGAUUAUGGUGCAGUAUCUGUAGUGUGAGUUGCAACAGCAAGGUGGACAUGGAUUCUCACCUAAAUGGGAAGAGUCACUCGGAUCAGAUCAAGGACCAGUUAAGAUUAUGGUGUGGGGCAUGUAAUGUAACCUGCAAGAGUGAGCGCAACAUGGCCUUUCAUCUGAAUGGGAGGAAGCACUUAGAGAAGAAGGGGAAUACCUGAUUUGCUCUUCAGAUUAUUGAUACUUACAAAUGGUUUUAGUUAGAAGCAUACAGACCAGUGGGUGGUGCUCACAGAUGCCUCUAUUUUGUUGUAUGAAGUAAAAACAGUAUUUCCAUGUCCAGAAAUCAACCACUUGUUUAGUGCAUGCAUGGCUGGUUCAAAAUUAAACCUAAUUGUGAAUGACUAGGAGCAGGGAGGGAAAAAUUGAAGUGAAGAAUGUAAGAUUAUGGCUUCAUUUUUAUUUUUUCCUCUUCUGAAAAUUGUAAGAUUGUGUUAGGAGGAGCUGGAAUGGGUUCAAAUCAGGAAUUAAGACCCAGUUCCAAGACAUGGAAAGUGUCUUUAGAUUAUGUUAAGUUAUUUCCAUUUUUUUUUCUUUAUUUACGGUAAGAGGGAGCAUAAGGAACGAAAAUGAAUAUUUUUUUUUUUUCGAAUAAAAAUGAAUUUGAUAAUUUCAAUUAUUGUGUUUGGAUGUAUUUCGGAAUGUAAGAUUAAAAUAAUUAUUUGUUUUCAUUUUAGUGUUUGAUAAUAAUGAAAGUAUGAAUUAAAAAAUAAAUUGAUAAUAAUAUUCUUAUAUUUAAUUUAAAAUAUAUAUAUAUUUUUUAUUUUAGAAGAAUAUGGGUUAAAAGUUUUUUUUUUUUUUUAAAUAAUAAGCUUAAGAAAAAUAAUUUUUACUCAAUAAAUAAAAUUAAUCAUACAAAGUCAUAAAAACCAAACCAAAAUAUAAGGGUAAAAUAAUAAUUUUAAACUAUUCAUUUAAGUUAUCCAAAUGCAUUCCGACUCUUCAUUCUCUUAUACCAAAUACCGUCUUUAAGUAUUUGUCAAACUUAUUUUUUUGCAAAAUAUCAAUAUUUUACUAAUAUUUUUAUCGAUUAUUUGCCGAUAUUUAUCGCCACGUCACCAAUUCUUUGAGUUUGACUUUCAAAAUUUUGAAAUGAUCUUUGAAGUCCAGUUCAGCCCAAAUCACUACACCCAUGAACUCAUCUACAAAAGGGAACGGCUGGGCCACCACACUAAUAUGGCCCAUACAUGGGACCUCGUAAAAGAAUACCCAUCUUCAAAAAUAGGGACCAUAUUAAAUUAUUAAUGUAGCUAUAGGAAGCAUUUGAGGACAAGGGUUAUGAUUUUUCCCUUUUCUUUUUCUCCUUAAUUUUCACAUCACCCAACAACACCACUCUUAAUUCACACAAAUUUGAAGGUUUGGAAUGAGACUUCUUCAUAAUUAUAUUGUAAUUAUGUUAUAAUAACCAUGUCGUUUUUGGAUUUAUUUAUUCAGUCCAUCUAAAUCUUUUGUUUAUUCGCGUCAAAACAAUAUAUUUAUAAUCGAAUCCAUUUAUGACAUGUUCAUCUUUUAUAAAUUCAUUAAUUUUAUAUAUUUAAAAUUUAUAAAAGUUAAAUAUAUUUUUUCAAUUAUGAAUAUCAUAUUACUAAAAUAUUAAAUAACUAAUUAACUUGAAAUGUUUUAUAUUUCAUUAAUUAUUUUAUAAUUACAAAAUUAAGUGAAAUAAUAAAUAGGUUAAAAUAUAUAUUUUAUUUUAGUUAAAAAUUAUAAAUUGUUAUUGAGACACAUAACUACUAAAAUUCUACCCAUUUGACUAUCAAACAAACAACUUAAGUUUUUAGUCAUAAUUUAAGCUUAUGAUAAACUCUAUUUACAAAAAUUAGAAACCAAAAUCAAAUUCUUCCUAGACUCAAAAAUAUAAAGACAAUCUUUUAACUUUAGAAGAGAACUAUCAUCUAAGAUAAGGGUAACACAUCCCAUUGCCUGUACAACAAUUCUUGCUUCAAAAGCUAAUGUUAGGUACAUAUCCCUAUCAUUCAACCUUUCCCUUAGCUAAAACCCCUAUAAAGAAUUAUAAACAUGAUCAAUGGCUCCAAAAUUUAUCCACCAAGAGUUAGUGGAAUCUAAUACUAAACAUGAUUCAACUAAAAGAGAAUGAUGCAUACCUGACUGUCUCUUUAAGAACUAAGGGCAUUCCUUUUUCUAAUGGCCUUUUUUACCACAAAGGAAACAUUUGUCAUGACCCUUACUCUUCUUCUUCUUCUCUUGCCCUUGAACUUUCCCUUCUGUUUGGUGAAUUCUAUAAUGUUCUUAUUUUGGUUAGAAGAACCUAAAGAACACUUAACUGCCAUAUAAAUACCUCUCUGAUCCUUGAGAAUUCCCUCAAUCAUUUUGUGUUCUCUCAUCAGUUCGGUUAUAGUUUAAGAAAAAAAUUGUUUUUUUUAUGUGACUAAACUUGGAAUGAAUGUCCAAGUUGCAUACAUACUCGGGUUGAGAUCAAGUCAUAAUGUAGUUUAAGAAAAAUAUUUUUUAUUUUUUAUUUUUAUUUUUUAUCUGAUUGAACUUGGAAUGAAUUUCUAAGCUACUUACGUAUCCAGGAUGGGAUCAAGUUCUAACAUAGUCACAAUGCAGUUCAAGAAUUAUUUUUUUUUCUUUUUUUGUGCUCCAACUUUUGCCAAGACUAAAGAUCUUAAUUUUGCGAGCAUGUCCUAACUUUUGCCUAGGUCGCCUUUCCAAGUUUUCAAUUUAGCAAACUAGGUUUUUUUUUUUCUUUUUAGUUCUCUAACUUUUGCCAAGACUAAAGAUUUUAAUCUUGUAAGCAUGUCAUAACUUUUACAUAAGUCGAAUUUUUAGGUUUUCAUAGUGCUGGAUUUUUUUUUUGUUUUUUGUUUUUUUUUUGUGUCGUAGUCAAUUUAAGCUCAUAUGGGUUGGAAGCGAUGUGUAGUUUGUUGGGAUUGAGCCCUUAAAAGCAAGACAUGAUGUAAUAAAGUUAAACUUAACUAUCCCCUUACUAUCCUUUUGGUGUAUCAACAUUGAUUUAAACAUUCAACCCAUAUCUCUUACAUUGUAUAUGAUUUAGAAGCAUUAGGAGUUGUACAGAAGAUACAAGUUAUGUGUUCUUUGUAAGUAGGUGAGUUAUCCAUAGUCAUUUCAUGGAUUUGGGCAAUCUAGUAGAGACUAUAGUGCACCACCUCCUAAUUGAAGGGAUGACUUGUCUUGGCCGUUGGGAUGAGUUUCCUAUGGUGAGCGUACUAGUGUAUAUGAUGCACAUUGGAUAGGACCUAUGACAAAUCAUGAUGCAAGGCUAUCAAUUGUCAUGAUUCACCAAGUUACUAUACUACAUGGACUCUCAACCUUGAGAGGACAUUGAACCUGUGUCAAAAUCAAUAGAAAGUUUUGACCUAUGGGCGAGACCCUAAAGUAGUCAUAUAUCCUUAUGAAUUAGGUCAUUGUUGAUGGAGGCUAGUGAUAAUAGGCAUUCUCAAUAGAGGCACCAUGAUAUGUCAUGCGAUUGAGAUGGUGUGUCCCUUUGGGUGAUCCAAGGAACAUGUGAUCAUGAAAUUUGUGGCCACAGUAAUUCCUUUAGUGGAAUUUGACAUAUGCUCAAGGAUUUGAGAGAUAAUAUUGAUAGGUGAUAACACUAUCUUGUUAGAUUAUAGACACCAGUUUCAUGGGGAAUCUGCAUGUAGUGGAUAGUAGGUCAUGAAUGCGAGCUUUGUCUCGUUGUUAUUUACAUAAGGUACUGGAGUGUAGUUGAUUCUCUUUAGUAGAAUGUUAAAUCAACUUCAAAAUUGGAUUAUGAGGGAGCCAGUACUCCUAUGGGUCUCAAUGGUCCCCACUCUAAGCUUAUAUACCAUGAUGACAUAAUUUAUGAGGGUUGGAUUGGCUUUAGGUUCAUUCUUAUGCAUAAGGGCAUUUUGGUAAUUACUCAAGGUUGCAUAGGGGAUAAUAAAUAAGGUCUCUAGAUUGGACUAAUUGAUUAAUUAGAUGGCCUUAUGUGGUUAAUUAAUCAAUUAAGACAUGUUAGGGCUAGAUUAAGUGACUCAAGCCUUGAUGGGUUCAAGUCACUUAAGCCUAGUGGGUAACCGUAUAAAUACCCCCUUAUGGGUUAGGGUUUUCUAAUGACUUUUAGUUAGUCAUCUUCCACUUUUAGAAAAAUAGAGAGAGUCAAAGCUUCCUCCUUUCCACUGCCCACACUUUGGAAUGCCAAGAUCGUGGAUCGAGUCAUCGAACGAAAGAUCUUGGGUGUAUGAGACCUUCGAACUCUUUAGGCUUCUUCUUCGUUGGAUGGAUUUUGAUCUAGGAACAUCUAGAUCACAUGUAUGUGUUAUAAAAUUUGGUUAAUUCAACCUAAGGUAAUCAUCCUAGAGAAGGGGCGAAUAGGGUGAUGAUCUUUUUUUGAAAAUUUAAAUUAUGUGAAUGCAAGAGACAAUUAUAUGCAAAAUAUAUAGCAAAACCAUAUAAAAACAAUUGCAUAUAAAGUAAAAGGGUAAGGAAGAGAGAAAAUAAACACAAGAUUUUUAUAGCGAUUCAGUGCAACCCGACCUUCAUCCAUUCUCCUCUAGCUUCAAUCCCAAACUUGAGGUUCCACUAAUUUAAGGCUUCCAACCCAAGCCUUCAAGCAAUACAAUCGGAUUAUGGUUCCAAUCAAACCUCUUGAAAUUUUAGUUCUAAGCACAUUUUACAAUCUUCAAGAGAUACCUCACUCUUAAACAACUCCUUAAGUGAUACCCCACACUUGAGAAUCCCUAAGUGAUACCUCACACUUAGAUUUUUCAUCUCAAAGAUUUAUAAAUGAAGAUAGGAAAUUGUUAGCCCAAGGGCUCUCCUAAUCGGGUUUUGAUGAUAAAAAAUCAUGGUUAAAUGACUAAUUGGUUUAAUGGUUAAGAAUCUCAGGCAUAAACUUGAAAAUUCAUCAAAAGACCAAAUGGAUACAAGAUCGAGACGUUUGGAAGACUUGUGAUCAUAGGAAACUAAUGUAAGAUGAAUGCAUGAGUACACUUAGGAUUUUCAUACCGUUUCAUGCAAUUUAGAAAACUCGGUUUAUUCUUUAAAACUUCAAUUUCAUUAAAACUUGAGUUUUAACAAAUGUACCUUAGGCAAAAUGUUUUAAAAUUGGCAUAAUAAUUCACCUAAAAACCUUGCUUAAGUGUUAGAAAAGAAAGGAAUUGAAAAAUAUAGGUUUUCGGGGCCAAAAGGCUCAACCGAUCGAGGCUAUGACCAACCUGCUCAACCGGUUGGGGAAUCGGUCGACCGGUUGCCCCUGUCCGGUCGAGGUUCGAUAGAGGGAUGCACAAAAUUUUCUUUCUCUCCCAGUAGCCUUCUCUUCUCGGUCGAGGUCUGGUUGAGGACCGAUCAAGGUUCGAUCGAGGCAACGGUAACCUGUCAAGCAUUAAAUGUUCCAACGGCUAGUGAACCGGUCAACCCCUAGCUCGACCAGUUGAGGUUACCUUUUGCUGUUUUUGGCUCCCGAGCUUAGAAACCUAUAAAUUGAGAGCUCCACUUUAUUUAUUGACGAGAGAACACUUGCAAUCAAUUGUCUACCUACCUGUUCUUGAUCAAAAAACUCUCAUUUCUUUCUUUGUGCAUUAAAUCAUCACUUGCAUAUCCUUUAGUGCACUCUUAUGUGUCAUCCUAGCUUUGUCUUAUAUUUGAGCUAUCCUUAAGCUAGGUUGAGGGAUUCAUUCUUGUAAAAACUGAGUGUCAAAGCCUUCAAGAGGUUUAAAUCUUGAAGAGAUUGUGUAAGAGCCCAUUGGAGCCAGAAUCCAAGUGUAAGAAGAUUGGAAGCUUGGUUGAAGCUUCAAGUUAGUGGAACCCUCACUCGGUUAAAAGAUUGAGGAGAGUGGAUGUAGGGAAGGAAGUGUCGAACCACUAUAAAACCCAAGUUUGAAUUCUCUAACUCUAUCUCUUUAUUUUGCUUAUAUUGUGCUUGAACUCGUUGUGAUUGAAAAGAAUUUAAAAAACCCAAUUCAUCUCCCUCCCCCCUUUUAGGUGUUUUUCUUAAUUAAGCAUAGCAUUUAUUUUCUCAAUUGGUAUCAGAACUAGACCUCUUGUUUUUUUUUUUUUUUUAAAAAAAAAAAUUAAUCGUCUAAGAGGAUAUGACUAUUGCAUCAAGCUCAUCUCAAGCUAAAAUUUUUUCAAAACAUAGAGCUUCAUUCUUUACGGGAUCCGACUAUCCCUAUUGGAAAACUAGAAUGACUUGGUACUUACAAUCUACUGAUUUAGAUGUAUGAGACGUCAUUGAAGAUGGCCUAACUUUUCCCACUAAACUAGUUGAUGGAGUUUUGGUUCCAAAACCCAAGCAAGAAUGGAAUGAGCUUGAUAGAAAAAACUUUCAAUUAAAUGCUAAAGUCGUUUUUACUUUGCAAUGUGCUAUGGAUAGAAAUGAAUAUAAUAGAAUAUGUCAAUGCAAAUCGGCUAAAGAAAUUUAGAGGUUGCUUGAAAUAACUCAUGAAGGAACUAAUCAAGUGAAAGAGUCAAAAAUUAAUUUACUUGUUCAUAACUAUGAAUUGUUUUCAAUGAAAAAAAAUGAUACUAUUGUUGAGAUGAUUACUAGGUUCACCGACAUUGUCAAUGGUCUUGAAGCUUUGGGAAAAACCUACAAGGAAUCCGAGAAGGUGAUGAAGAUAUUGAGGUCUUUCCCAUCAAAGUGGCAUACCAAGGUCACUGCAAUUCAAGGAGCAAAAGACUUGACUAAGCUACCUAUGGAAGAGCUCAUAGGGUCAUUAAUGACAUAUGAGAUCAAUUUGACAAAGAAGCUACAAGAGGGUAAAGACAAAAAGAAGAAGAACAUAACCCUCAAAGCUAUAACCAAGGAAGAAGAAGAUGUUGAAGAAGAAAAACCAAGUGAUGAAGAUGAUGAUUUAGCCCUCAUCACAAGAAAGCUCAACAAAUACAUGAGAGGUGAAAGGUUUAGAGGAAGAAAGUUCACCUCUAGAAGAGAUCCUUCUAAAAAGGAAUCUUCAUCCCAUGGUGACAAGGAGAAAUGAGAAGAUAAAAGAGAUUUGAUAUGCUUCAAAUGCAAAAAACUGGGACACAUUAAAUAUGAUUGUCCACUCUACAAGAGUGAAGCCAAGAGAAGAAUGAAGAAGGCAAUGAUGGCCACUUGGAGCGAAAGUGAAGAAUCCUCCGAAGAAAAAAAGGAGAAGGAAGUAACAAACAUGUGCUUCAUGGCAAUAGAUGAUCUUGAUGAGGUAAACUCUAACUUUAGUGAUGAAGAUAUGUAUGAUGUUUUUGAAGAAUUAUAUGAGGAUUUUGAAAAACUUAGUUUGAAAAAUAAUUCUCUUAAAAAUAAAAUUCAAGAACUUGAAAAAGAACUUGAAGAAGUAAAAGAAAAAGUUUCAAUUGUUGAAAUAUCUAAAACUCAUCUUGAAAAAGAAAAUAAGAUUUUGAGAAGUGAAAAUGAGAUUUUGAAAAAGAAAAAUGAAUGGUUGACCUCCUCUCUUUCAAUUUUCUCUUGUGGAAAAAAAUAUUUUGAAAUGAUCUUAGUUAGCCAAAAAUGUAUUUUUGACAAACAAGGGUUAGGAUUCAAAUCUUCAAAAAAUCAAAAGUAUUUUAAAAACUACUUUGUAAAAGAAUCCGCAAGUGUAAGUCAUUCUACCACUUGCAACUUUUGUAGAAGAGGAGGAGACAUUAGUAGUACAUGUCUCUUAAGAAAUGGUUCUCAAAAGAAUUCAAAUGCUAAAGCUAAAAAGGUUUGGGUUGAGAAAUCCAAAGUCACUAACCCUCAAGGACCCAAAAAGAUAUUGGUACCUAAAUCAACUUAAAUUUUAUUUUGUAGGGUUCAAAGAAGGAUAAGUGGUUCUUGGAUAGUGGAUGCUCAAGACACAUGACCGGGGAUGAAUCCAAGUUUGUUUUCCUUACAAAGAGAAAGGGAGGAUAGGUUACCUUUGGAGACAAUGCAAAAGGAAGGAUCAUUGGUCAAGGCAACAUUGGUAAUGACACAUCCUCUCUUAUUGAAAGUGUUUUAUUAGUGGAUGGUUUAAAACAUAAUCUUUUGAACAUAAUUUAACUUUGUGACAAAGGUUUUAAAGUGAUUUUUGAAGCAUUUCAUUGCAUUAUCAAAGAUAUUCAAAAUGAUAAAACCAUCUUCAUGGGCCAUAGAUGUGAUAAUUUUUAUGCUAUAAAUAUUUCAAAUAUGAUGGCCAUGGUAAAUGUUUUUCAAGCAUGCAUGAUCAAAGUUGGUUGUAGCAUAGGAGGUUGGGACAUGCUAACAUGGACCUCAUUUCCCAACUCAACAAAGAAGCACUUGUUAGAGGCCUUCCCAAAAGAAAUUUUCAAAAAGACAAAGUUUGUGAAGCUUGUCAAAUGAGAAAGCAAAUCAAAAACUCUUUUAAAAACAAAAAUUUCAUUUCAAUAACUAGGCCUGCAUAUGGAUUUAUUUGGUCCCUCUAGGACACCAAACCUUGGAGGAAAAUCUUAUGCAUUUGUUAUUGUGGAUGACUUCUCUAGAUACACUUGGGUCUUAUUUUUAAGUCAAAAGAAUGAAGUCUUUUUUGAGUUUUCAAAGUUUUGCAACAAGGUUCAAAAUGAAAAAGGUUUUACAAUUUCUUGUAUAAGAAGUGAUCAUGGAGGAGAGUUUGAAAAUAUUGAUUUUGAAGACUAUUGCAAUGAGCAUGGUAUUAACCACAAAUUUUUGGCUCCUAGAACUCCUCAACAAAAUGGGGUAGUUGAAAGGAAAAAUAGAACUCUUCAAGAAAUGGCUAGAACCAUGCUAAAUGAAAACAAUUUACCAAAAUACUUUUGGGCCGAAGCAAUUAACACUUCUUGUUAUGUUUUAAAUAGAAUUUUAUUGAGGCCUAUUCUUAAAAAAACUCCCUAUAAGCUUCGGAAAAACAAGAAACCCAACAUUAGCUAUUUCAAAGUCUUUGGGUGCAAAUGCUUUAUAUUAAAAACCAAAGACAAUCUUGAAAAUUUUGAUGCAAAAUCGGAUGUUGGAAUUUUUCUUGGUUACUCAACUUUAAGUAAAGCCUUUAGAGUUUUUAACAAAAGAACCAUGGUUGUUGAGGAGUCCAUCCAUGUUAUUUUUUAUGAAUCUGACAAUUCUCUCCAAGAAAGAGAGAGCUUUGAUGAUGAUUUAGGCUUGGAGACCUCCAUGGGAAAAUUACAAAUUGAAGAUAGAAGGCAACAAGAAGAAGUUGUAGAGGAUCCCAAGAAAGAAGAAUCACCUUUGGCACUACCUCCUCCUCAACAAGUGCAAAGUGAAUCAAGCUAAAACCUUCCUAAAGAUUAGAAGUUUGUCAUCAACCACCCACAAAAUCAAAUUAUAGGUAAUCCAUCUAGUGGGGUAAGAACUAGAUCAUCUCUUAGAAACAUUUGCAAUAAUCUUGCUUUUAUCUCUCAAAUUGAACCUAAAAAUAUAAAUGAUACUCUAGUUGACGAAAAUUGGAUGAUUGCUAUGCAAGAAGAGUUAAAUCAAUUUGAAAGAAGUGAAGUAUGGGAAUUAGUGCCAAGACCUCAAAAUCAAAGUGUUAUUGGAACUAGAUGGGUCUUUAGAAAUAAAAUGGAUGAAAAUGGCAUAAUUAUAAGGAAUAAAGUAAGAUUGGUAGCCCAAGGUUUUAAUCAAGAAGAAGGGAUAGAUUAUGAAGAAACCUUUGCUCUCGUAGCUAGAUUGGAAGCCAUUAGGAUGCUACUUGCCUUUGCACGUUUUAAAGACUUUCUUUUAUAUCAAAUGGAUGUGAAAAGUGCUUUCUUAAAUGGCUUUAUAAAUGAAGAGGUAUAUGUUGAACAACCACCCGGUUUUCAAAGUUUUAACUUUCCUAAUCAUGUUUUUAAACUUAAAAAUGCACUUUAUGGUUUGAAACAAGCACUUAGAGCAUGGUAUGAAAGAUUGAGUAAAUUUCUUUUGAAAAAGGGUUUUAAAAUGGGAAAAAUUGACACAACUCUUUUCAUAAAAAUAAAGAAAAUGACAUGCUCUUAGUGCAAAUAUAUGUUGAUGAUAUCAUUUUUGGAGCUACUAAUGUCUCUCUUUGUGAAGAAUUUUCUAAAUGCAUGCAUAGUGAGUUCGAAAUGAGCAUGAUGAGAAAACUUAACUUCUUCCUUGGACUUCAAAUCAAGCAACUAAAGGAAGGAACCUUCAUCAAUCAAGCAAAGUAUAUAAGAGAUCUCCUCAAAAGGUUCAAUAUGGAGGAAGCGAAAACAAUGAAGACUCCAAUGAGUUCAUCCAUCAAGCUUGACAAGGAUGAGAAAGGUAAGUCCGUUAACUCAACUAUGUAUAAAGGCAUGAUAGGUUUUUUGCUAUAUUUGACCGCUAGUAGACCUGACAUCAUGUAUAGUGUAUGCUCGUGCGCUAGAUUUCAAUCUUGUCCUAAAGAAUCUCACUUAAGUGCCGUAAAAUGAAUUCUUAGAUAUUUAAAAGAGACAAUGGACAUAGGCCUAUGGUAUCCUAAGAGUGAUAACUUUGAAUUAAUUGGAUUCUUAGAUGCCAACUUUGCCAAUUGUAAAGUUGAAAGGAAAAGCACUAGUGGCACUUGUCAUUUCCUAGGACACUCACUUGUUUCAUGGCAUAGUAAUAAGCAAAAUUCGGUAGCCUUGUCAAAGGCGGAAGCAGAAUACAUAGCAGCUGGUUUAUGUUGUGCACAAAUCCUUUGGAUGAAACAAACACUUAGUGAUUUCAAUUUGAUUUUUGAGCAUGUUCCUAUUAAACGUGAUAACAUUAGUGCCAUAAAUAUUUCAAAAAAUUUGAUGCAACACUCUAGGACUAAGCAUAUAGAGAUUAGACACCAUUUUCUUAGAAAUCAUUUACAAAAAGGUGACAUUACACUUGAAUUUGUAAGCACAAAAGAUCAACUUGCCGAUAUUUUUACAAAACCUCUAAGUGAAGAGCAAUUUUUUUAUAUUAGAAGACAACUAGGGGUGAUUUCUUUAUAAUCAAAUGAUUACUUGAUGAAUUCUUGAUUGAAUAUACCUUAUGAUUGCGUGAAUUUCACAUCAUAUGCAUCAUAUAGAAAUAAUCUUAGGAAAAAGGUCAAAUUUUGACCAAAAAUCAAAAUUCCCUUGGCAUUGGAUAUCAAAAAUUGGGGAUUUCAACUGAAAAGGGCAAGGGAAGGAUCACGAGACAAGCAAAAGCCAAAAAAUUAGAGCGUUGACCAUUGACCAUUGACCAUUGACCAAGCGGUUCGUCGGGGCUGGGAAUUUAAAGAGACCCCCGCGCUUUAUUUUUUUCACUAUUCCCCUCAAUUCCUUGAAAACUCUUCACAUACCUGCUUCCAGAGACCACUUUGGGUUGAAUCUUGGACCAUUUGAAGGGCUUGGAGUUGUUUUUGGGACGUUUUUAAGACUAGGGUUUCAAUCUGAAACCUAAGGUUUCCAUUUUUAGGAGCAAUUCCUCUCAGACCACGUGCAUCAGCCAGGCUCAACUCCUUCUCCUUGCGCUUAGGGCUUCCGGUUGGAUUUCAUUCUCUCUUGUUUGGUUUCAUUCUCUCUUCAAACUUCUUUUUCUUCAUUUUCCGUUCUUUGGAUGGCGCCUAGGAGAGAGACAACUACCUCUAGGGCUCAGGGCAAGCGCCCUGCUGAGCCAUCUCAACCUGAGCAGAUGGAGGCUCACCGAAAGGCGAGGUAUGACACGACCCUCUGUGGACCCGCAUUUUUCACGUGCGUCCCCACUCGAUCGGCGAGACUCGCUUUUUAUUUGUGAAAAAUUGAUCUUUAAAAAAAAAAAAGUUGGAGUCGCCACCUAUUUUAUUUUUAUUUUGAAGGGAAAAUAAAACAAGAAAGAAAAACCCUAAAAAGUGACUCCAUGGUUUUGGAAAAAGCAUGUCUUUGAGAAACCCGAGUCUAAGUCCGGGGAUCAGGUUACUUAUUGGGAAGGUACCUCUAGGAGGUAGCACCCCUCUAAGCCCUAAAAAGGUCUCUACUGACUAAGUUAAGGGAAGCGUGGCAAUUAAAUGGUUGAUCAUGGAUACCUAAGUAGGCUAGGUGAUUCCAAAAACAUAACAUAUCAAACAAGAUCAAAUCACAAUUAAGGAGAGUUAAAAAUGCGUACCUGGACGGCUUCCCAAACGCUAUCAUAAAACAUAAGAGAUUAGUUUGGAGAUACAUCACACAACAUUUGUUUUACUCAAGCAAAUCAGGCAUAUAUCAAGACAUUCAAGAAUCACGUCAAAUAUGGAUAUGGUCAUCAAUGACAUACAAGUCCAUAGAAUUCUCGAAAAAAGGAUGAAAAUGAGCGUACCUGGAUAGCAAGCUAGAGCGCCUUUAUGGGAAACAAGGUUAACCCAAUAACAAAUUCAAGCAUAUCUCCAAGAAGAAUCAAAAUCAAUUGAAUACCAAAAAAUCAUCUUUAAAAUCAAUAUUAGUGAAGAUAUUAGGAAUGUAGGACCCCCCACCAAAGUCCAUAUUACUUUUGCACGAAUUGAUUCAAUGAAUUCCAUUAUUUGGAAUCGUGAAGCUUAUUCAUGCUUGUCAAAAAUCGAGAAAAUCAUAAAAUAGUUGAAGAUGAUGAAAAUGCAUGCCGGAAGGGAAAAUGGCAGCAAAUAGUAUGUUAAAAUUUGGAUUUUAUGCCUAGAGACUUCUCAGGAAUUUUAAAUAAAACUAGAAUUAUUUUUUACGGGAAAAGAUUUUGAAAUCCAGAUUUAAAAUGUGUAAGAUAACAAAAAGAAUAAGGAGAAACAUUAGGAGUAUGGUGUGUGGCAAGGUGACCACUAUAUGAGUGAGGUCUGGAGGUGCACUUGAGACUAAAUGGUUGAAACAGAUUGCAUAGGGAGCAUUCUGUACACCACUAGUUGUCUAGAAAGAAACUGAAUGUGUUCGUUUCCGAGCCCAUGUUCACCGGAGUUUAGGGUGCCACCUCAUUUAAAAAAAAGGGCUUCAAUACAACUCUAGUUUCUCAAGAUCACAAUCUGAAUUAUCAACAGAAGCUUCUGGUGAAGACAUAAUGCUCAAUUUCAGAUUAAAUUUCCUGUUCUAUAACUCGUUUUCUCUGAAUUUUCCUUUAAUGUCUGUGCUUUCUGAUCAUAUAAGUUGCCCGUCUGGUUCCUUGUUUGAGACUCUGCCGAACCUGGAAUAAUGCUUCUAGGUCUAGCUGAGGGGACCUACACCCCUUUUCAUGGAACCUGAGGCAUGCGUUAAUUCGAAACUCUAUUACUUUGCCUUCCAUUGCUUUAAGUCUUUUAGCCAUCUCAGCCACAAAUCUGGAGAUUCAUUUAUCUUUCUUUAAUAUUCAAGCCAAAUGUCAAUCCAGUCCGCUUAAACCCCGAUUUGAAUGAUUUUGAACCCUCUUUUUGCGCUCUUGAUGUUUUUCAUUUCAACUACAAUGACAAACCACCCUUCGAAAAAAGAAGAAAUCUGGACCAAAUCCUAAACUUUUAAUUCACAACUUCUUGAGCCUGACUCUGAGUCGACACAAUUGAAUCACCUUGGAUAAGAGUGCUUCUAAAAAUCCUCCAGAAUGUAGGCACAAGUGCAGCGUUCGUUAAUAAUGUCCAUGGCAUGUCACAAAGGAAAGCUUCUUUUUUUAUAAUCAUCAACGCAAAUUGACUCUUAAUGGACCCCAUUGCCAGCGUCACAUCAAAGACUGGACAGAUAGGGAGAUUCACAAUUUCGAUAGCUAUCUUUGCAUUAUUUGGGCAGGGCAACCAUGUUAUGGAUAUAUAGCUCGAAGGUGACUUGCGUUUUGUUCUGUAUCAUCAGUAGCAGCCUCAAACCCGCCAUAGGUUUGAGUGGUAUUAAAAGACUCAACAUGAUCAGCUGUAGGUGAUCGAGCAGCCAAUUCAUCAUUGAGCAAAUCAAUAAAAGCUUGGAUAUCGUUGCCGAGUGGCCUAAAAUCAUUAGAUAAAUCAUUAAAGUCAUUAAGUAUAUUACUGAUCUCCAUGAAAACCCUCCUCCUUGCUUCUGUAGAGCGAACACAAGCUGCCACUAAAAUUGGUUAGCCCGGAUUGCUAAUUUAUGCAUCCAAUCACCAUCGAUUUCUCUUGUCCUUUUUGGAACUUCUGGAAUAUGGAUGAAACCUGUGAAGAAUGUGGUGGAAUUGCGGUCUGCAAGCACGAAGUUUCCAGUUACUUGAAAUGCUUCGAAAUCAUGGUUCCAGUUUACAUCUACAGGCAUUGGCUCAAGUAAGUUCGUAUCAGCUUGGGUGGCUUUCGAUUCCAAAAGCUCUAACAACAACAUGAUUCUCAAAUAUCCGAACAGCAAUGUCCAAAAUUGAAUCAAGAAAAUUCUUUAGCAGCAGUAUGUGUUGUCCCUGCUGGAGCCAUCACAGGAGCAACUAAGCUAACUGCCAAAAAGGUUCUAGCCAGUGAGAUCCCAUUCUGACGUUUCGGUUUUGGUGACUGAUAGCUUUCUAAUUGUCCCUGCAAAUAAUGUAAACCAAUAGUUCCAUUGAAUGGAUUGUCAUCCAGAGCAAGGAUCCGAAUACUUGUAAGGCCAUCAACGAAAUCAGCGAGGGUGGUGUCGACUUCGUUGUAAUCGAAGAAGGCGAGUUGCAAUUCAGACAAUCUGCGAGAAGAAGGCAAUUUUCCAUUGAAGUGGUUCAUCUGAAACCCCAAAUUGCAGAGCAUUGAAAGCUGGUUGAAGUUUUGAGGGAGAGGUCCCUUUAAUCCCAAUCCCUUAACUUGAAUCUGUGUAACUCUGUCACCACUAUAAAAUACACGAGGCCACAAAUUUGACUCCACCCGUUGGCUCCUUUCCUUCAUUCAUUCGCUUUAACAAGUCACAUUUAAUUCCAAAGAAUAUUAUAUAAUCUUCAAGUAUGUUCAAAUCAGAGGGCUCUAGUCCGUUAACCUUUACACUCUCUAGCAGGUUCUGUUCUUGUCUCUUCCUAUUAUACAGAAGUUCAAGCAAGUUUCAUAAAGCCUGAAUUUCUACACGUAGCCACUACUGGGGUCAGGUUUAUCCAAGUGUGCUGCUCCAACAGAAUUAUCGAUGUGUCAGUUUCUCUAAAAAUCACCUUGUGAAUCAAUCCACAAUACCGAGGCAUCCCAUCAUCAGAACUUCCUAAGCUUUCAGCAAGUAGGCAAGCAUUUAUGCUUGAGUCAACUCUACCGAUGACAACAAACCCAUCCAAAUCAAACUUCAUAGCUGUUUCUUCUUUUCCAUUAAUAUCAACUGGUAUCCUUUCUAAAAGAAUGCUUUUCUUAUGACGACAUGACAGUAAAACCCUUUUGCGAGAAUGGCUCAGAGUUUUGAUCAUCAUCUGAUUCUAUUGUAUUACUGGAAUGAUUGCUUUGGUAAAUGGAAUUCAACAGAAUCCACACAUUCAUGACUCUAAAAUUCAGCUUACUAGCAACCAGAUGGAACACACAUUUUCUGGUUCAGGCAUUCGUUUCUGGUCAGAUUCAUGGUAUCUUAGCGGUGCAACAGACGAUGCAGCAACCUCUUCUAGAGUGCCUUUUAUGAGCCUCAAGAGCAAAGGCCAAUGAUAGAUGAAGCGGUCCCUCUGCACUACUUGGGCUUCUGAUUCAGAAGUUAUCAUGAAGCCAACGAACAAGCAGAGUGAACGCAUUUGCAGUCAACCUUAAAAUUUCUAAUAUUGUCAGCAGGCCUGAUGGUAAAAAAACGAAAGUAGGGGAGCCUUAUUCAAGAGGAUCAUUGCGAACACUGUCACGUGUUAUUGGUGAGCUUGUUGGCAUCUUGUUUUGGGCAGAAUAAUGAGAUCCUUCAGUUAAUUAGAGAUCCAUAUCAACUAAACACCAGAAUCAUGGAUUUCCCAUGCUUUCUACUGGACAACGAUUGUCAGUUCUUUCUCUUGUUCACUUCUACUGGCAGUGGCUUGACUCUCCAACAAAACCCCUGAUGCACCCUGUAGCUCCUCAUUUAAUUCUGGAUUCUUAUCAGCAUCGCUUUCUUCUCCCUUUUGAGACUCUUGGAGUAUGAAAAAGAAAACUUGUGAAGAAUAAGGUGGAAUAUCCCAGCAAUGCAGUAUGGUAGGACCCAUUUGAGGGGGAACCCUGCAUUCAUCACUCUCACCUCCAGUAGCAUUAGAUGCUUGCUGGACCCAAUUCAGCCAGUCUCUGCAUAUUGACUCUCAAUAUAAACGUUUAGAAAUAACAAUGACUUCAUUUCUACUGCCUUGUUUAGACCUUCCUUGAUCAAUGUCUACCUUCAUUUCUCACAAAUUCUGGUUCUACUAUUAAAGUUCUGCCCCCAGUCCGUUUUGCAAAGCAUAAGCUAAUUUUAUAUUUGUAUAAUUCCAUCUUAACACACAAGUCCGUCGUAGCCUUUCCUGAGAAGUUAGAGAAGUUGCUUUUCUGAUAUAAAAAAGCCUUUCAGAACCAUGCUGAAGCUCUGAAUGUUGAUAGUUUUCCAUUGCAACUGAUAUGAGCUCCUCAUCGGUAGUGUCACAAGAAUGAUUCCAUGAGAAGUUUCUUGUUGCAUCACCUUUUUUAUGUAUUCCAACCCCAACUGUUGAGUUUCUUGAAAUUGAAACUACGGAACUUAGUUAUUUUGAAUUGUUUGCAUCUGUAGUGAUAAAUCACUGGAAGAGACAAUCAUAAUUUAGGCACUUGAUUUCCGUUUCGGUCGAACUAACAGCUUCGUAACUGUUAAUCUCAAGGUCAGAUUCAUGCUCUUGUUUCUCAAUUUCCUCUUCCCAUGAGAAUUUUUUUCAUAACAAUCGAAUGAAUUCUUAUAACUCCCAAAAGUUUCUAGCUUUUGCUGAUCAUGGAGGUGCCUCACAAUACUUGUCAUUAUACUCACUUUGGAAUUUUUCUGGUCCAUGUUCACUUUGAAUGAAUGUAUCCCUAAAGGGGGUAUUCAAUGACUGCCCAUAAUGAGUUACAAGUUCCCCAAAAUAGAAUAUAAUGAUCGUCGGCCUUACAGUACUGCUGUUUUAAAAUUUUCUGCUCGCUGAACAGUCAUAGUUCAAACCAUCAAUAUCAAAAGGCUUUCCCAGGCACUCAUCUUCAGAACCAUAAGGCCAGCAAGUCUGCAACCGUUUGAGUUGGGUAAAAAAGAAAGUCCUAAGCAGUGGAAGUGCACAGCAUGAUGCUGUCAAGUUUCAAUAACUUAAAUAUUGGCCAACUUAAGCCAGACCAUAUUCCUCAAAAAUCCAUUCUUCCUCUGCUCAUGUAAACUUGUAAUGCUGUCAGAAAUCCUGUCUUCAGAAUAGCAACCCUGACAAUUGAGUAUGGAAAGCAGAAUACCCAUGUGCUUCCAACUAAGCUUUUUACAACCAUCCUCAUAAACUGAGGCGUGCCAUUCUAAAGAAAAGGCAGAGUCUUUUAGAAAUCACAAUACUUCUGAAGCAGCUUGAAUUAGCAUAUUGCAGUAAUUGGAAGUCGGAUUGACUGAAACAGGGGCUCGAACGCAUCCAUCUGUAAAUCUUACAGACCGACCACCCUCAGAGAAAAGGUCUCCAAAAAAAAGGCUUCAGCUUCAUGACAAACAGCAUUCUCUGUUUCAGAGUUGCAACUGCCCCUGUUAUACUACUCCUGUGCACUUCAGCAUUUAUUCUUUAGUUAUACCGUCCCUUUAGAUAGCAUCUAUCCCACACCGUGAAGCAAGCAAGGUUCACUAUAAUAGGAUCUAGUAGCAGCAACAAACGGGUGAUCCUGGAGAUAUUUUAAACUCAACUUCAUCAACAUCUUCAGCGUGCACUUCUGUUGGAACACAAGCGAUAGUAGCAGUGAAAAAAAAAGUGUUGUACUGAUCCCGUUAGGAUUGCAGCCCAGAAUACCACGAACAGAGAGCCCCAAAAAUUGAAGCAACUCUGCAUCCAACUAAAUCACAUCUAGAACCCGGUUUAACGACUUUCUUGUCUUGAAGAGGAAAUACCCAAUCUGACUCAACAAUCUGUUAUCAUGUGCCAAACCCCACAAACAGCCCACAUUCUACGCAGCCUUUAUAAAGUCUCUACCUUUCAUGAAAUACUCAUGCCAUCAUUGUCUCCAUAGCCCAGAACACCAAAGUAAAGAAGAGGAAGAAGCGUAGAUAUAGAAGCACAAAAAAAGAAACCGAACAAAGAAAGAAAAAAAAAAAAAAAAAACGAAAACAGGGGAAUGGAAGGCAAUGGGUGGGAAAUCUGAAUAAGUCACAUUUCAUUAUUUUCAAAAGGGCUUUGAAGAAUCUGAACACAUUAGGACAAGCUUAGUUAAAAUUAUAUCAGGAUUCCACAAACAUUAAAAUUCAAACAUAAGUCUCUGUUUCAGCUAUUUAUAAAAAGAAUCAAAGAAAUCAAGAACACAAUCAUAAUAGAGCAAGUUUGAAGGAAAUUUCGAUUCAACAACGCAAAUAAAUGGCCCUCAAUGUCCACUCCAAUCAGCAAGAACAACUUCCCGAAAACAGCCAGAGAAUCUCAAGUGAAUGUAAACGGGAAUACCAAAAUAAUAAAAAAAAUAACAGGAAGCGUACCUGGCAGAACCUUGGCUGCAAUCUCCCUCUCUUUCUGCUCUUCUCUCCGCACUUUUUCUUCAAGAUCUCUCUUUUUCUCCUUUUUCUCCUUUCUUUCUUUUCUUUCCUUCUUCCUUUUCUUUCCUUCUCCCUCUCAAGCCCAAAAAUCCUAUCUCUCCCUCCGGAUCUCUCCAAAAAAAAAUCCCCAUGCGUGCUGCCAGUCCCACUUUUCAAAAAGAAAACAUCUUGCUGAAAAGGAAAAUCCUACUUCCUUUUCUCCUUUCUUUCCUUUCUUUCUUUUCUUUCCUUCUUCCUUUUCUUUCCUUCUUGUAGCCGAUCCCCACAUGGAAGAAGUAUAUGUGCUGUCCCUCUAAAAAUCAAAAUCUCCUCUUUUCAAAAUUCCGUUGAUUUUCCUUCCAAAUAAAUGGCGGUUCGUUUCCUCAUGCCCAAAAAAUAAAUAAAAUAAAAAAAUAAAAAUAAAAAAAAUAAAAAAUAAAAAAUUAAAAAAAUUAAAAACAAAAAUAAAAAAAAAUCAAUCACAUGCAAGCCAUACGAGCUAUGUAACCACCAAAGGAAUAUGAGUUAUGCAACCAUGCAAAAACACGAGCCAUGCAACCAUGCAAACCAUGCAAAAACAUCUAAAGGUGACCUAGGGUGUGUCCUAGUGCGCUAGGGCAAACGAAAUGGACUAAGUGUGCUUAAAAGCUAUCCUAAAAAAAAGAAAAGCCUACGACUAAGUUAGGGCUGCCAAGGGUCACAAUAAGGGAUCAAAUAAUCCCUCAACCAAAAUCUCCGAGGUGACUCAGAAAAAGGUUAGUGGUAUGAGUAGCCAUGGGCCACCAAGGAACUAUGGGGCACUGAAAACGAAUUUAAAGACAUGUGCUAAAGGGACAAAAUUGAGGGUCUACACCCUCUUCAGUUCUGUUGAAGAUUAUCAAAGAUACAAGCAAAAAUUCUCCCAGAGGAAACUAGGGAGAAAUAUCAAUUUCUCCCAACUUUAGUACUUCGGGUUUGAGGGACUCUUUAGUCGGAUGGGAUAACUGCCAGUUGUGAUGAUUUUCGAGCCGAUCUUCCUGACUCUGGUGCGGGCAUUUUAUUCAUAGGUGACUUAUGGACUUGGAGGACCAGUCAUGUCCACUAUUAGAGGUGUUGAGAUCAGACUGAGCCCGGAGAGCAUUUUCCGCAUUCUCGACAUUCCUUUAGUUGGACUCCGGGUGUAUGAGUCCAAGGUUUGGCCCACUGUGCCGGGAUUCGAGCCUAGAGAGGCUAUUCAGAGGCUGUGCGGACUUGUAGAUGCUGAGGGGAUGGACAAACCAUCGGCACAUAGCCUGACCGUGACCAGCCAAGUCCUUCAUCACAUGAUUUGCUCCUAUUGCCACAAGGCGGGUAUCGAGAUGAGAUUUCCUACCUGGAUGCUUUCAUAGUGGACACCAUUCUAAUGGGGAGAUGGAUUCAUGUAGGGUAUUUGAUGAUGAUGCAUAUGAUAUCCUACUAUGAGAGCACGACCCGAGUACUCCCCUACAGACGCUUCCUCACUCGAGUAUUCAAGGAUGUCGGGGUCGAUUUGAGUAGAGAGACGAACUUCGAGGCCCUUACUAGCUAUGAUACUUACGAUGAGCAGUCCUUGGAGCGGAUAAAGUUUGAGAAGGCCCUCGAUGGCUCCUGGAUUAGGAGAGUUGAGCGAGCUCCAGCAUAGGCCCGGGGACAAGGAUAGAUGCAUCCCGGAGUAGAGGAGGAGGCUGAGAUCAAAGAGAUGGAGGAUGGGUUAGACCCAAGGAUUGAAAUAUCGAUAAAUAUGGAUAUAUCGGUACUUGGAUUUUACGGAUAUAUCGGAAAUAUCGGAGAAAUAUCAAUGGAUAUUUUUCAUCAAAUAUCGGUGAGACAAAAAUUAUCCAAAAUUGAUGGGAAUGCUUAGAAAAAUCCAAAGAAUGAUAAAAUAAGCAAGAAUAUACAUGUUAAAGUUAUUUUAUGAGUGUAAUUGACAUAAAUAUGGUAUAAAAAAAAUAUAUAUCGGUAAACAGUUUACGAUACUUGGAUUUUAAGAAAAGAAAAUAUGAAAUUUGGAAUUGUACACUUAAAAAGUUAGAAUUGAGUUAAGAAAUAUUUGAUUUUAUUAAAUGAAAAAAAUUUACACAUAAACAUAAUACAUAUGACAUUGCAAUGGUCCUUAAUACCAAAAUGAAGAUCGAUGUGGUUCCAUCAUAUUGUUAUUGUUAGAUGAAGGGAGCCCAUCUUGUUGAAGACAAUAUUCAUACCAGGACAUGGAGUUUCGAUAGUAUUGAUUGUAUGUACUAACAUGCCAUGCAUAAAUUUCUUGAGUCCUACCGACAACCUGUCCAUGGAUGGGAAAUCCAGGGUUUUCCCAUGUGCUCGUUUGAAAUCCUUGUUGUUGCAGCUGAUGUAGAAGGUAGUAUGGAAUUUGUGUGGAAGAAUGAUAGUUAUACCUUUCAUACUCUUCAUCAGUGGAACUUGAAAGAUUUUGAGGAGGCUGACCAUAACUCAUUGCAUAAGGGGCAUAAAUGUUGGCUUCAUUUGAUGAAUCACUUAAUUGAGUCUCUACACUCAUCGACUCAAAACUGGCCGACAAUGAGUCCUCGUUGUAUGGCAUCAUCCUUCGUUGUCUUCCUCUAUAUGGCUUUCCAAUGGCUCCAACACCUGGACCGGCUCUUCUAGAGCCGUGGUCUUCAUCUUGAGUACAAUGUGUGAAAUCAUCUUCACUAAUAAAUGCCAAUGGUUGUCCACUUUGUUGAUGUUGUCUAACAUCCCCUUCAUCAUUUUCAGGGUCGCUACCAUCAUUGGUCCCCUCUCCUCUUGAAUCAUCAUAACCGGAAGCGGAAGUACCAGUAGCACUAGGUCUACUACUAUGUUCAACACUCGUGGGGUCAAAAGAAGGUCGAGAAGUGACUACCAGCUGAGAAAUUCCUUGUCGAAAUGAAUCUUUCGUGUCUUGGUUGAAACUAUCAAUAUGAACUUCUUCGGAUAACACUUGAUCAACAUCAACACCUGCUUCUCGGACAUGUGCGGCAAUUCGUGGGUCGAGAUUUCCAUCUUCAUCAUCUAAAUGAAGAGGUCUAACCCAUUGAAACAAUUGGUUAUCUUCUUCUUCACCAGCCUCAGUUGCAAUAUCAAGUAAAUCAAGGUAAUCUUUCUCUGAAACUUUGUCAUGUUCUGCUUCCAUGUCACGUAUCUUUAGUUUCAUGUUAUAAUAAUAGAAAACUAAUUGUUAGAGCAUCGGGUAAGCAAGCUGAUUUCUUUGUUUUGUAUGAAUUAUGGAAAACAUGCUCCAAUUUCUCUCACAAGCUGAAGAUGAUGCAGUUUGCGAUAAAACCUUGAUGACCAACCUUCUUAAUGUAGGAGUGUGAUUUCCAUACAUGAACCACCAUUCAACUACAACCAAAUAAAUGAUAUCAAUACUUAUAUUGGAAAGCUAUAAUAAUAUGCUAAUGAAAUGAAUUAUUAAUUCACAAAUAAUACUCACCGAGAACCAUUUCUAACCUCGAAGCAAUCACUGUUUGAUCACCGAAUCCUCUUUUUGCAUCUCGGAAUAGUAUAAUCUACAUAUUAAAUAAUUGAAAGUGAAAAAGUUGAGUAAAUGAAAUUAAAUUAUUUAAUUUAUAUUAUAACUCUAAUAAUUUACCUCAUUUCCAAAUUGACUAAAACCUUCUGAUGUAGGAUCUAAUUUCGCAAAGACUUCAUGGACAACUUGAAGUAGAUCAGGAUCAGUACCAACUCCAUGUUUAUAUUGAAAUCUUGGAUUAAGAAAGAAUGCUACAAUAGUAAAAUAGAAAUGUAAAAUUAGAAUGUUAUGAAAGAAACAUAUUAAAUACCAAUAAAUUUCAAAGAUGAAUAAUACUUACCUGCUGCAUGAAAAGGAUGUUUAAAAGUUCUAUCCCAACGAUAUGCAAUUAUUUCUAACACCCAUUCUUUAGCAUUAAGUCGAAUAAGGUUCUCUUUCAUAACUCGAAUCAAUUCGUACACAAAUGGCAUUGUAGGAACAACUUCUGAAUCGACAAUGCGAAGAACUGUGUAUAGCGCCUCAUAUAUUGACACUAGCUUUCCCACUCUUUCCUAGUAUGCAUGGUCAAACAUAAGUGAUUCAACUUCUUUGCCGAUUAAUGUGCAACUUAAGUUGUGUUGUGCCCAUUCAUCACUGAUAAAUAUUUUCUUCAAGUUUAUUUUCUUUUUCAAAAGACUGUCGAAGGCUAUAUAAUUGGUUGCAAAUCUUGUUGCUCCAGGACGAACUAUGUCUCCACCACACACCUUCCGCAUCUGGGUAAGCAACCAACCAUGGUUAUAAAUGAAGUUGGUUAUCUUUCGAGCCUUUGUAAUCACAUCUGCAACACUCGUCCUUUUACCGAUAUCUUCGAACAUUAAGUCGAUGCAAUGUGCUGCACAUGGAGUCCAAUAAAGAUUGUAUUUCUUCAUUAACAACUUCCCCGCCUUCAUGAAUGCCGACCCAUUAUCUGUAACUAUUUGGACCACAUUUUGUUUGCCAAAUUCCUUGAUCACAUCCUUCAACAAACCAUAUAUGUAUUUGUUGUCCUUUAUAUUAUUUGAUACAUCAACAUAUUUGAGGAAGAUUGUGCUACCUUUUGAAUAUACCAUGAAAUUAAUUAUGCUUAAUUUCGUGGGCCCAGUCCAUCCGUCAGACAUAAUCGUGCAUCCAUAAGUCUUCCACUUUUCUCUUUGAAUAUUGACAUAAGCUUCUAUGUCUUUGUACUCCAUAUCCAAAUACUCGUGUUUGAUUUCAUAAGGAGACGGUGGUUUUAUACCCAUACCUACCAUCCAUAUAUAAUUAAAGCAUAUAAGAACAUUUGUGGCAAUCAUACUAUAUAAAUAGUAAUGAUAUUGUUAAAAUGAAUACAACUUUUAAAAUUAUAGUAAUUACCUGCUUGUUGUGCACCAACAAUCAUGUUCUUGAAGUGGUGAGAGUCUGUUUUACUGGGCGGAACACUCUCAUAUAUGAAGAACUUACUGAUCAAACGUCCCAUGGUUUCCUUGAUGGCACCACCUUUGAAAAUAUUUUUCAUAUUUUUAUGUCUUGCUACUGAAGAUUUGUACAAUGAGGGUGCAUCAGGCAGUGAUGGAUCUAAAUAUCGAACACUUUGCGAUUUUCGCAUUUGCCUUGUUGUUGGAUUGGUUGGAUGUGAAGACUUGCCUAUUAUAAUUAUUAAAAUUAAACAUAUAUGCUAAUUUAAUAUUAUUGAUAAAGUUGAUAAGAAAUAGUAAUAAUUCAAAUUAAUAUUAUACCUGUUUUUAUUUUGUCUUUUAUAAAAUGUUCUUCUUAUUGUCGAUUCCAUUCAGCAGCUUUUGAUGCUCGAACCGCCUCUCUAUAAGCAUGUCGCUCACCAAGGUGCAUGUCAGCCAGAUACAUAUACACAUCAUCAUCUCCAUCAUCAUCAUCACCACCAAGGUUCUCCUCAUCGUCCUCAUCAGUUACAUGCUUAUGUCUUAUUCCCAUUGUGUCUCGCAGUUCAGAUCGAAUCUCUUCUAUAUCUGUAGCUUUCUUCGCUUUUGCCUUAUUUUUUUGCUCUAGAAGUCGUCUUAUUUAUUGUUUCACUUCUGGAGGCAUGUUAGGACACUUUUUUGUAUUUGAAUUAGGGUCUGUAUGUGAUAGGUGAAAUUUAAAACGAGUAAUCCCACCACUCUUUAUUGCCAACCCACAGUAAUUGCAUACUGUUCCAUUUUUGUCCCCUUCCAUAGGUGUACAAUAUUUCCAACAAGGAUCUCGACCCAUGAUACCGCUUUCACUAGCCAUUUUCUAAAAUUGAAUUAUGAAACUAAUAUCAAAUUUAAAAUUAUUAAAGAUAAAACAUGUAAGAAAUUUAAUAUUCAUGAAAUUGAUAAGAACUAAUAAAAAUUGAAAUUAAAAUUAAAUUAUGCAUAUAUGAAAUAGAUAAACAUUACAAUAAAAUUUCAAUAUGAAUUAAAUUUAAAUUAAAUUAAAUUAAAUUUGUAUAUUCAUGAAAUUGAUAAGAAUCAUUACUAAUAAAAAUUAAAAUUAAAAUUGAAUUAUGCAUAUAUGAAAUAGAUAAACAUUACAAUAAAAUUUCAAUAUGAAUUAAAUUAAAUUAAAUUUGCAUAUUCAUGAAAUUGAUAAGAAUCAUUACUAAUAAAAAUUAAAAUUAAAAUUGAAUUAUGCAUAUAUUAAAUAGAUAAACAUUACAAUAAAAUUUCAAUAUGAAUUAAAUUUAAAUUAAAUUAAAUUAAAUUAAAUUUGCAUAUUCAUGAAAUUGAUAAGAAUCAUUACUAAUAAAAAUUAAAAUUAAAAUUGAAUUAUGCAUAUAUGAAAUAGAUAGACAUUACAAUAAAAUUUUGAUAAGAAUUAAAUUAAAUUAAAUUUGCAUAUUCAUGAAAUUGAUAAGAAUCAUUACUAAUAAAAAUUAAAAUUGAAUUAUGCAUAUAUGAAAUAGAUAAACAUUACAAUUACAUUUCCAUAUGAAUUAGAUAAUAUCAAUUAAACUAUUGUAGACCCCCCUCUUUUGGUCUCGUUUCUUUUUUUUUCCUCUACAUAUAUUAUGUUUGUUUUAGCCAUUGCGGAAGCACCUGGAAGAGGUGUUAGUGCCUUGAACAAGUGGGGGGACCUGGCUGUUUGGAGAGAUGAGCUGCGUGGAACACGUGGUGGAGCAGUUGGCCACAGCCAUGGUGGUGGUUGGGGCUCCAGUUUGCUGAGCAGAGGAACAGUAUAGUAGCUGAUGGCUUGCAGGAAAAGCUUUGACGGAGAAGGAGGACAGAGGAUUUUUAAGAGGAUCCUUUUGAGAGUGCUGGCAGGGGGGGAUCUUGGAGGGAAAGGGAAGAGGAGAAGUAAGUUUUGAGGAGAAAGGGGCUUUCAGGUAUGGCCAUUUAUGAUUUUUCCCGAAUAUUCUGAUCUUUCAUAUCUUUCCCAUCUUACUCUCCAUGAUUCCAGUUUUGCUUGAUGAGUUGUUUUGUUUUGAUGAUUGUUGGUUUAACAUUAAAAAAGAUGGCUGUUUUUUUUGUGUUUUACCCGUGCAAACCUCUUCCAACUUAACCCUUUGAUCGUUAAGCUCAUGGAUGAAAGAAUGAAACGAAGUUAGCACAUUCAUCAAAAGGUUCCCUGCUAUGUUUCUCCAUUUGUUCCCUUUGCUUGAGUAUGUGAGUAUUGAUGCUAAUAGUAGCAAGGUCCCAGCCAACUUUGUACAAUAGAGCUCAGAUGUUGCUCUAGGGGUUCAUGAUCAUCCUGUCAAGUGCCUAGGAGCAAAUGAUGCCCUUGAGCUUACGUUUCUAAGUCGUGUUCUCCCUACCAAGCUGGAUACCCUCCUUGCUAAGGACGGGGGGACGAAACCUAUUAACAGCCGAAACCCAAUGAUAAGAUCCAAGUCACUGUCGAGUAUCUCAAUGAGAAGGAUGCCAUGGUUCUUUCUUCGUGUACAUGUUGUUCCCAUCUCCACCCAAGUUGACUAAACUGUCAUCAGUGAUGAGAUUGCUGCCUACACUAAAUAAUACAUCAUCCAGCCGGUUAUUCAUGAGAAACAUUAAGAUGAGAAGUCCACCUUCCAACACCCAUUAAGCCACUCUUCACACCCAUCUUCUCUCAUUAACAUCCUCAUACCCCUCCCACCACUUCGUGAUUCAUAUCCCCAUCAUCCCCAGCCGUCCAUGCUAUCAAUAAUAUCCCCACUUAUCUUCAUACCCAUUUGUUCCACUAUUCGGAAUCCCCAUGCAUGCGAAACUGGACGCGGAAGCCAUGAUAGCAGAGAUUGUGAUGAAGAACGUGGAAUGCGGUACCCUGUUGCAUGAAGUGAGCAUGGUGGAGCGGCGGUUUGAGGAGUCGACGAGGAAGAUAGAGCUGUAGAAGAGCUUGCUGGAGGUGUUGGAGUUGGAGAGGACGAUAUUGCUGAAUGAUAACGUGCGGCUGGGGCGCGAGAUGAGUGCGCUGAUUGAGGAGAACAAGGGGCUGUGGAGGUCCCGGCUCCUGCUCCGACGCUGGAGGCGCUGAGUCCUCCAGCACCGCCGGCCGAAGCUCCUAGGCCACAGCUAGAUGCGAUCCCAUCCAUCUCCAUCUCUGCCAGGUGAGAGUAGGGCAGAGAAGAUCACGUGCGUGAGGUAGAGGGUAGAAAUGGAUAAAGGGCAUAGAAAAUGGGCUACAGCAAUGCAUGGAAUUGUUUGAUAAAAGAAAAGAGAAAUGGGUUUGUUGACACGUGAAAGAACUAUGCACUUUAAAAAAACUCUCCCUGUUUGUUUUACAUAUUCUCAAACAAUGCUUAAAAAUCCCUUAAAAUUUUAAAGUUAAAAAUUUAUUCACUUAUUCAUGUUUUUCUAUUCACUUCAAAUUCUCGAAACUCAAUCCUAAAAUUUAAUUUCUUCAAAGUUCAAUCUCCAAAAUAACUUUUUUUUUAGGUUCUAAUUUUAACUUUAAUUCUCCAAAGAUCCAAAAUUUUAAAUUUAACUUUCCAAAAAUCCCACAAUUCCGAAUUUAAUUUUAGGUCUUGUAAAUUAGUAUUAUUAUCCCAUAUUUAUUUAUUUAAAGUCCAAUCCUUCAAAAAUCUCAUUAUUAUUAUUAUUAUUACUUCAACUUUCGAAAUCAAUUUAUUCUUAUUAUUAUUAUCAUUAAUCCAAACUUUCAAAAUCCUAUUAUUAUUAUUAUUAACCCAACUCUCAAAAUAUUAUUAUUAUUAUUAUUAUUAUUAUCAUUAAUUCAGACUUUCGAAAUCUUAUUAUCAUUAUUAUUAAUUCAACUUGCAAAACCUUAUUAUUAUUAUUAUCAUUUCAAAACCUUAUCAUUAUUAUUAUUAUUAUGAUUAUCAUUAUUAUUAAUUUAACUUUUAAAAUAUUAUUAUUACUGUUUUUAUUAAUUCAACUUUUAAAAUCUUAUUAUUAUUAUUAUUACUAAUUCAAUUUUCAAAAUCUUAUUAUUGUUAUUAUUAUUAUUAUUGUUAAUUCAACUUUCAAAAUCUUAUUAUUAUUAUUAUUAUUAUCAUUAUUAACCUAUUAUCAUUAUUAUUAUUAUUAUUACUAUUACUAUUAUUAUUAUUAUUAUCAUUAUUAUUAAUUCAAUUCCCCAAAUCUUAUUAUUAUUAUUAUUAUUAAUUCAACUGUCAAAAUCUAUAUUCCCGUAGUUUAAUUUCUCAAAGUUCAUUUCUUAUCAUUACUGUUAUUAUUAAUUCAAUUUUCAAAAUCUAUAUUCUCGCAGUUUAAUUUCUCAAAGUUCAUUUCUUAUCAUUACUAUUAUUAUUAAUUCAGCUUUCAAAAUCCAUAUUCUCGCAGAUCAAUUUCCUAAAGUUCAUCUCUCAUUUUCUUUGACGAAUUUCAAUUUAAUUACCGAAGCUCUAAUCUUUCAAAGUUAAUUCCAAAUACUUCAAUUUUCAAAUAAAGUCUAAUAAUCCAGUUUUCACUCGAAUGGUUUUAAUCCCAUUUCAGUCCCUAAAUAAUCUUCUGGUAUUCUUGAUUUUAUAUAAGCAAUAGUGAAUUCUUCAUAAUUCUAAAACACGGAAUUUGUGAGACUGGUUCAUGAAUAAUAAAUUGGGUUUUGGUGGGAGGCACUAUGUUUGAUCCCUAUUGAUUGUCAACUGUUGUGCUUAAUGUAUUUUUGCUUGAUCUUCAUUUUGCACCCUGAUAUGCAUGAGUUAUAAUUUGUAUUCAUUAAUUAUGCACUAAUCCUGUUUCUUGAUAGCAAAUUGCUGUUUGCUACCCAGGUACGCAUUCACUCAUUCUGAUCAUUCACUAUACGUAUUCUGAUUCUCAUAUAUGCAUGAUUAAUGUGAGUAUCCAUUGACUUUCUUAUUCGAUUGCCACGUCAGUUUCACUUUAUUAGUAGAGACCCGACUUUAGGGACUUUGAGGGGUGCUAUGGUCUCUACCGUACCUUCCCGAUAAGUAACCUGACCCUCGAACCCGAUCCGGUUUUUCACAGACCACCUUUUCCAAAACAAGGAGUCGCACUUAGGGUUUUUCUUUCUUAUUUUGUUUACCCUUUAAAAAUAAAACAAAAAUAAGUGGCGACUCCAAGUCAUUUUCAAAUAAUCAAUAAAAAUCAAGUUUUCAAAUAAAAAUCGAGUUCGUCAUCGAGUGGGAAACGCAUUGAGCCGAAAUGCGGGGUCCACAACUAUAUAUAACAAAUAAAAUUGAAUUAUGCAUAAUAAAAUAAAUUUUAUGAAAGGUAAGACAUACCUUAAUUAGCUUUGACUUGGAGUUAAUCCCUUUCACCAACAAAUUUUCAAAAUAAAAAAAUUUUGCUAGAUCAUAUAAGAAUUUUGAUGUAUGAAAUGGAAUGGAAUGUGGGUAUUUAUAGGAAUUUUUUGGUCAAACUACUCGUUGGAUGGUCAAAUAGCCGUUAUAAAUUAAUUUUAACCGUUGGAUCAAAAUUUGGUUCAAAUUUCACCAUUAGAUCUUCAUAUAACCGUUGGAAACACUCCAUAGCCCUUGGAUAAAGUGAAGAUUGAUUUUCCACCAUUGGAUCACAAAUCUGACCAUUGGAGGCCUUUAUAAACACACGGGUGAAAUUUGGGCCAUCAGAUCCUCAAAAAUUCAAAUUUGGCCGUCAGAUCAAAAUCCUUGAAGCUGUAAAAAAAUCACCGAUUAAUCGCGAUUUUCUCGGCAAAAAAUCGUUGAUAUAUCGGUAAAAUAGCUGAUUUUUUGGGCUCCUCCUCCGGCUUCUUCGUGCGUGCCUCUACUCGCGAUUUUUCGUCGAUUUAUCGGUGAAGCACCGAUAUUUGGCCGAUAUAUCGGCGAUUUUGCCGAUUUUUCCGUCGAUUGAUAAUCGGUGACGAUUAUUAUUUCGGUGCCGCCCAAUAUCCGAUAUUUCUCCGAAAUAUCGAUGAUAUAUCCCGAUUUUUCAAUCCCUAGUUAGACCCUUAGAGGGAUUUUAAGUAGAGAGGGCCCGAGCUUGACAUUUCUCCUCCACCUCAUUCAGAUGGUAUUCAUGUUGAGACCACUUUCUUAGAGCCUAUGAUGAUUGAGUCGUCUUACACUACAGGAGCAUCAUCUCAGCCAUCAUUCACCGAGCUUCCUCACACAGAGAUACCAUCUCAGGCACCUCACGCUUCUGAUCAUGCCCCUUGGAUGGAUGUAUCAGCUCAUAUCAGCUUCCUUGGGACUCCUAUGGAGGAGCUUGCUUUAGUCAAUGAUACUCGAUUCUACUCUAUGGAGGAUCACAUAGAUCAGUAUCAGACUGGCUUCACUUCUCGUUUUGAGCACUUCCAGCAGAGAUUUGAGCGUAUAGAGGAGCGUAUGGAUCAACAGCAGGCUACAGUUGAGCAUCUCCAGCAAAGUAUUGAGCGCAUUGAGAGUCGCCAGGCGAGUUAGCAUGAGGAGAUGAUGGCUUACCUCCGCUCCGUGUUUCCAUCUUCACCCCCUCAGCCUUGAGUUUAUCUAGAGUUCCCCCUCAAUUUCUUUUUUAUGUUGCUAAAGGGGGAAAAAUAUCUAGGAUCUAGGAAACCCUCAUGCAUAUCAUUGUCAUAUCUAUCUUGAUUAGCAUAUAUGUUAUGUUUUCGUGUACAUGUGAGGUUACCAUAUAUAUGAUAUGCUAUUUUCAUGAUCCAUUGUUUCCUAUUCAAUUUUUCAUGCUUUACAUUGUUUCCUAUUGAAAAUUGAUUGAUUGAUCCAUGAUUGGUUUGAGGGGGAGAUUUUUUUUCUCUCCUAGAUAACCAAGGUUGGUCAUCAUAAAAAAUGGGGAGAUUGUUAGCCUAAGGGCUCUCCUAAUCGGGUUUUGAUGAUAACAAACCAUGGUUAAAUGACUAAUUGGUUUAAUGGUUAAGAAUCUCAGGCAUAAACUCGAAAAUUCAUCAAAUGACCAAAUGGAUACAAGAUCGAGACAUUUGGAAGACUUGUGAUCAUAGGAAACUAAUGUAAGAUAAAUACAUGAGUGCACUUAGGAUUUUCAUACCGUUUCAUGCAAUUUAGAAAACUCGGUUUAUUUUUUAAAACUUCGAUUUCAUUAAAACCCGAGUUUUAACAAAUGUACCUUAGGCAAAAUGUUUUAAAAUUGGCAUAAUAAUUCACCUAAAAACCUUGCCUAAGUGUUAGAAAAAAAAUGAAUUCAAAAAGAUAGGUUUUUAGGGCCAAAAGGCUCAACCGGUUGGAGAACCAGUCGACCAAUUGCCCUUCUCCGGUCGAGGAAUGCACAAAAUUUUCUCUCUCACAGUAGCCUUCUCUUCCCAGUCGAGGUUAUUCUCUUCCCGAUUGAGAACUGGUCAAGGUCCGGUCGAUGACCGGUCGAGGCAACGGUAUCCUGUCAAGCAUUAAAUGCUCCAACGGCUAGUGAACCGGUUGACCCCUAGUUCGAUCGGUCGAGGUUACCUUUUGCUGUUUUUGGCUCCCGAGCUUAGAAACCUAUAAAUUGAGAGCUCCACUUCAUUUAUUGACGAGAGAACACUUGCAACUAAUUGUCUACCUACCUGUUCUUGAUCAAAAAGCUUUCAUUUCUUUCUUAGUGCAUUAAAUCUUCAAUUGCAUAUCCUUUAGUGCACUCUUGUGUGUCAUCCUAGCUUUGUCUUAUAUUUGAGCUAUCCUUAAGCUAGGUUGAGGGAUUCAUUCUUGUAAAAAUCGAGUGUUAAAGCCUUCAAGAGGUUUAAAUCUUGAAGAGAUUGUGUAAGAGCCCAUUGGAGCCGGAAUCCAAGUGUAAGAAGAUUGGAAGCUUGGUUGAAACUUUAAGUUAGUGGAACCCUCACUCAGUUAGGAGAUUGAGGAGAGUGGACGUAGGCAAGAAAGUGCCGAACCACUAUAAAAUCCGAGUUUGAAUUCUUUAACUCUAUUUCUUUAUUUUGCUUAUAUUUUGCUUGAACUCGUUGUGAUCGAAAAGAAUUUAAAAAAUCCAAUUCACCCCCUUCCCCUCCUUUUGGGUGUUUUUCUUAAUUAAGCAUAGCCUAUAUUUUCUCAUAAAUAAUCUCACAAAAUCCUAGUACAAACUUUAGCCUCAAAUUAUACAAGAUAAACUAGGAUUGAAUGGUGCACUAAUGAUAUGUAAGUUUUAAAACAAUGUGUACUAAAAAACACUCCCCUAAGGCUCAAUUAUAUUCAAGAAAGGUUUAAGAAGGUUAAACUCUUGAAACUAUAAAGAUUGAAGCGUUUUUAUAGAAGAGAAAAGCCAAACUACCUAUUGGGGGUUCGUCUGGUCGAGCUCUGGUUCGACCAGUUCACUAGCCAUUAGCAUUUAAUGUAUGAUAGGUGACCAUUGGGCCUUGACUGGUACUCAAUUGGAUGAAGUUCAACCUUGAUUGAUCGAAUAAGCAUUAUGGAAAAGAGAUAAGGUUUUUGCACCCUUCAACUGAGUAAGUUGAAUAAGUCGACUAAUUCCUCAUUCAAUUCAACCAAUUAAGUCAUUUUUUGCUAAAAAAACCAUCAUUUUCAACUUAAAACCUUUUAAACAAGUUUGGAAAGCAUUUGACAUAAGGUUUUAGUUGAAAACAUGAAAUCAUCCAAUUUUUAAAAGAUUUAAAACAAAAUAACUCUUGAAUGAUUUUAGUGUAUAAGUAAAGAAUGUAAUGCAUGAAAAACCCCAUGCACUAACAACCUUACAAAGAGAUCCUAUGAGGCUUAGGUCUUGAAAAAACACUUAUCUUUAAGGUUUUCUUCUUCUUAUUGAUUUUAUCUUUGUGAUUGCCACUUUGGAAAUCAUCUUGCCUAGUCACACUUAAAAUAUAAUCAUUAGUUCUAAACCUUGUUUUGUUAUCAUCAAAACUAAGAUUAACCAAACCUUGGUUUCACAGUAUGAAUAUUGUAUCUUUAGAUCUAUAGUUAAUAGUGGUUUUUAUAGUCAUAUGUUUCUAUUGUGAUAAAUUUAGAGAUGCCUAGGGAUAGAUGAAUGCACCCUAUGAGAUCUAGUGCAUAUGAAUGGAGUAAUCUGGGGUUCCUAACAUAGUUUAGGCUUGUGCUUCAUAGAGCGAUAACAAUUCUUCAAGCAUAGUUAUGCUUUAGAAAUUUGUUAUUGAUUGGUCCAAUUUUUAGACCAUCUUUAGCAACAAUCUUGUGGGCACCAUUGAUAUAAACUUGUUAUACAAAAUAUGAUCUAUCACAUUUUUGGCAAGAACUUUCCACUAGUUUUGUGCAUGGUAAUGAUCAUGCAUGCAAACUUAACUAAGUUAUACACUAGAUGCCAAACUACUACAAUUCUUAUACACCUUCCCAUUUUGUGCAACCGAACAAUUCAACAUCAUAACACCAAAGUUCUUGCUUAGAUUUCCUACAGUGCUAAAAUUUUGAAAUGAUUAAUUUUUUUAUUUUCCUUUCAAUACCAAGACCCACAUACAUCAUGUCAUGCCCUAAGACCCACUCUAAGGGCAUGACAAUCAUUUCACAUCUCAAGGUAGAAAGCUCAAAGUGUAAAUUGACCUUAACAUUCAUUUUGUAACUGGAAAAUUAUCAAUUACCAAAUUCAUAUUCAAAGUAGUAGAAUAAAAUUCUAUAAGUUUCAAAUCUCAACUUUAAAGCUAACACAUCAACUAAAGUGUUAUUGUCCAAACAACUUCAAACUUAACAAUUCAAGCAAUCAUUAAAUUCUAGCUUUCAAAAAAAUAAAGUUUUAACCAAAAGUCUUAAUAUUGCCAAAAUAUCAUCCUAACGAUCACUCCUAGCCCGAAUUAAGGUGCCUAAAAAAUUGUCAAUGAAAGGAAAUGAGAUCAACGCUCAAUAAGGAAUAUUAACAAAGUUUCAUGGAUCAAACAUUUUUAAUUAUAAUUCCAAAUAGGAGAUAUAAUAUAUAAUCAUUUUCAUAAAAACUUUUGAGUUUAAAUAUAAUAAUACAUUCAAAAAUUUUUAGCUAAACAUUUUCAUAUCUAUGUCAAAACAAUUUCAUAUCAAAUUCAAAUCAAAUAUAUACAAAAUAUUUUUAUUUUGGUUAUCAAAUAUCACAUGGUGUCAAGUUAGGUGGGACUUUACAAAUUGGUGUCUAGCCUCAAAUUUUUUCAUUUCAAGGUGGAUGAAACCAAACACUACUAGUAUUAUUAACAUCUAACCAAAUGCCUAAAGGGUGGAAUCUAAAGCAAUUACAUGCCCCGCCAAGAAAUAUAAGGUCAACAAUUAUAACUAGUUAACUAAGGACAAAAAUAAACUAGAGUCAAACACCUUAUUUCAUUAAUUCAAACUUACAAAACAAAAACAUCAUAUCUCCAUAAUUUUCAUUUUUUAUAAACAAAAGAAAUGUUCUAACAUAUUUUUUUCAUGAAAAAUAUAUAUUUGAUCCAUGCAUAAAAAUAAAAAUAAUUUUUUUUAUUAUUCAAAAUAACAUAUAAAAGUAAAUAUGUUCUUUUGGCCAAAACAUGUAUUAAUUUUUCUUACCUCAAAGAAACACUCAAAGACCUUGAAGCAAUUAAUCCUGAAGAAUUUCACCCCAAAAAACAUAUUUCAUACCUUACAAAAAAAAAACAAAAAAACAAAAUUACUAUUGAUUAUUUAUCUAAUAAUAGUUUCGUAUCUCAUAUCACCUAUAUUAUUUUUAACUUCCUAAUAAAUAACAAUUUAAUAAGUGAUUUUCCAAAUUUUAAAAAGUUAUGUUCUUUCCAAAAUUUAUUCAUAAUAUUCUAUUAUUAUUAAUUAAAUCUCUCAAAAAUAUGUUUUUUCUAUUUAUUGCAUUAAACUAUUAUUAUUAUUAUUCAAUUUCAAUUUGAUUAAUUGGUUUUUUCUUUUAAAUUUUUAAUUUAUAUAAGAUUCUUGUUUUGAAAAUCUUCCAUAUUUACUUAUUUGUUUAAAGUAAAUUUCUCCAAAACUUGUUCCUUUUUGUUAAACAAAUAUCUUUUCCUAUUAUUAUUAUUAUUAUUAUCCCUAAUAUUAUAUUCAAAUAACUAAACAAUAAUAAUUUAAAUUAGUGAGUUUCCAAAUUUUUAUAAAACUCAUAUUCAUUCUAAAUCUUAUCAUAUAUAUCUAUUUCUUUUAUAUAAUUAAAUUAAAUUAAAAAUUUUACUUAAAUAUAUAUAUAUAUAUAUAUAUAUAUAUAUAUAUAUAUAUAUAUUAUAUUAUAUUAUUACUUUCAACAUCCUUCUACCACCGAAACAAUUACCUCAAGUAAAAGUCAUCUAUCCUUAUUCUACUAACUACCCUCUCUCUUGCAAUAGCACACUUAGGGAUGGCAAUGGGGCGGGUUCAGGAUAGGUCACCCCCAUCCCAACUCCACCUUGUUUAUUCAAAAUAAUUAUCAUCCUCGUCCCAUUUAAAAAAUUAAAUGAGACGGGGCGAGUAUGAUAAAUUCUCAUACUCGCCUCGUCCUGCCCCGUUUAACUUUUUUUUGAAUUUAUUUAUUUAUUUAUUUUUAAAAUUACUUUUAAAAUUUUUAAUUACAUUAAAAUAAAUAUAUUUUAUAAAUAAUUAAAUAAUUAUAUUUUUUAUUACUUAUUUUAUUAAAAAUAUUUUAUUAUUAUCUAUAUAUUAAAAAUAGUAAAAUAAAAAUUAAAUUAAAUUAAUUUUAAAAAUUAAUUUUAUAUAUAAUUGGGGCGGGGUGGGACGGGGCAAUACCCAAACCUGCUUCGGGUUUUAAAAAAAAUUCUCAAACUUGUCCCAAACCCGUUUAUUAAAAUUGAACUCCGUCCCAUUAGGGACGAGGCGAGUACCUCGAAAAAACCUGCCUUAUUGUCAUUCCUAAGCACACUUUCAUUUUUUUUUUUUCAUUUUUAUUGCUUUUAUCUUUUUCCUCCCUAAGAUCAAUCAUAUUGUAAGCACCCCUUUUUUUUUUCUACCACAUCUUGUUGCAAUCAACCUUGUAAGUUUUUUUAAUUUAAAUUUUUUUUCCACUAUGGAGGCACGUACAACCAUAAAACCCCAUCUUUUUUUAUUUUAUUUUUACAACUCUCAAAUCUCUCAACCUCCAUACUAUUAGGUUUUAUUCAUUCAUUUAUUUAUUUAUUAUUCCAUAUCCAAAACUAUAAUUAAUUUUCUUUUAUAUUUUUUUAUUUUAGAUCUAUUAAUUUGAAUAUUCAAAAUUUCUAAUCUUUACUAAUAACUCUAAAGCAUUCAAAACUAAUUAAUAAAUAUAAAAUAUUAAUCUAAGGAUUAAAAUCUUAUAUAGAAAAUUGAUCUUCAAAUCUUAAACCCCCAAAUUUUCAACCUUACAUUGCGUUGUCUAAUAUCUCAAAUCUCCAUGUAAAAGGGCUUUUGAAUAGAGUAAAUAAGAAAAAUUUAAUUUAUACCUAAAAUUUUUAAAAUAGAGAAAAAUCUUUCUACCCUUAUUAAUUUAAUUUAAUUAAUUUUUUAAAAUUAUGUUUUUACCCUUUAAUUGGGUUUGGGCAUCACACAUCAUACUAAAAAGUUAUCAAUAACCGUCCUUUGAGGCAUAUUAGCAUAAAUUUGCAACUUUAGUUGUGUUCUAGGUGCAAUUCUAUUAUGUUUAAUUGAAAAAUAACACACAUAGCACAACCAAGCCUAAUUGAAAGCAUUUGGGCAAAUAAAUGGUAAAUUUCUAAAAGUUCACCAAAACAAAAAAAAAGAUCAUAGAGGGCAUAUUUUUCAAGUCAACCUAGUUUUGGGAUAGCCACUUUCAAGCCUAAUGAUGUUAAGAUGUCUUAUUGCAAUCCAAUCUAAGAAUGCAAUAAUAGCUCUUUAAUUCAUAAUUUUAAAUUCACAAAAGAUAUCACCAAAAAUUACCAUAGGUUACCAAAGCAUCAACAACAUACAGAAAGCUUAGAAAUGCUUGGAACCUAUCGGAUUUUCACUUUUUAGGAAUAAAAAAAAAAAUCAACUUUAAGGAUUUUAGGGUAAUACUUGCUUGAACCAUCUUUCAAUCCUUUUGUUGGUGGUGGGCCUUUUACCUAUAGGAACAGGAAUAAGAGGUGAAAAUGAGGGAGCCUUAUGAAAACAGAUCCCUAGGGCUUAAGAAGGGGUUUUCAAUUUUAGGGUUUGCCUUUUCACCAAGGAUGUGAAUGGGAAGAUCAAGUGAAGUUAAGAGAUUGGUGAAGCAAAGUGAGGGCAUGGUAGGGUUUGAAUAAGGGAAAUUCUACACUAUUAAUGAAGAUGAUAAUCUCGAGAAAGCAAAGCUAAGGUAAACUAGGGUUUUAAUAACAUUUUUCAAUCUACACUAGUGAAGACGAUAUCUUCGAAAACCAAAGCUAGGGUAAGCUAGGGCUUUAAUAAUGAAUUUCAAUCUACAAUGGUGAAGAUGAGAAUCUUCGAAAACCAAAUCUAUAAUGGUGAAGAUGAUUGAAAACUAAAUCUAUACUGGUGAAGACGAUUGUAAAGCAAAUCUACACUAGUGAAGAUGAUAAUCUUCGAAAACCAAAUCUAUAAUGGUGAAGAUGAUUGAAAACUAAAUCUAUACUGAUGAAGAUGAUUAGAAAGCAAAUAUUCACUGGUGAAGACAACGAAACCAAAGGUAGGUCUUCUAAACUAAACCCUUUUAGGGAUUUUCCAUUUUUUUUCCUUUGUUUUCAAGAAAGGUAAACUCUCUUGAAAACCAAAAAACUAAUGCAUUCUUAAAUCCAGAUCACCAUUUUCAACAUAGUAUUUGGAUUUCCACCUUGCAUUUUUUAUUUUUUAUUUUUUUUAAUAGUCAAGGGCAUUUUAGGGAUUAUUGAAGGAUAAUAUCAAUAAGCUCAAUUUCCUACAUUAGUUAGGUCUUAGGCUCAAAUGUGAAACUUAUAGGGAUGUUAGGCCAAUUAUCAAACUUACUUGCCUAAAGCAUAAUUUCCCCUUUUCAAAAUAGUUGUUAAACAUCAAUCCCAAACAUGUGUAACCCUUUGAAGUACUUGUAUGUCAACCUUGUUUCCUUUCCCUCAUGCAACAUGACUUAUUGAUGGUUGCAUUGAAUCAUUAUCAUUCACCAAAUCCAUGCAACUAUGGACUACCUUUCAAAUCCCUUGAACAUAAAUGGUAAUUCCAAAACAACUCAAGUAUAAUCUUUCCGGCCUUUCAAAUGAUUUAAUUAAUUGAUGUUUGAAUAUACUUCAUAUAUUUUUUUAGAGCAAUUUUUAGGCAUAUGACAUAAAUCUCUAAUUUUUUUUAUUUUUAUAAAAGGUUUUAUAUUUUAUAUUACAAUUUCCUCUCUUUUUUUUCAUCUAAAAAACAAAAUAUAAAACCUUAAUAAACGAGUUUUGUCACAAUCCCUUAAAAGGUAAUCUAUUUUUAAAAAUUACUUUAACCAUUUUAGAUAUAUUGAUUCAGUCUAAUUUAAUUUUAAUAUUUUUUAUAAAAUAUUUUUAUUUUAUAUGAUUAUAAAUUAAUUACCAUUGAUUGCAUAUUAUAGAAUAUAUAUUCUAAAAUAUAUCCUAUUGACAAUAAUAUCAUAAGAUAUUAUAUCCAUAUCCUAAUAUAUUAUAUACUUUUAUUUUGUGCAAUUAGCAACAGGGUGGAAGACGGCUUAGGCGGGAGACGGCUUAACGGAAAUGUCGUCUGCCAUGCGUGUCCCUUCCCUUAGUGAGUCUGAACAGCUCCAACAUUUCUGACACGCCCUUCUUCGGUUAGCUCUUAAGUAUUUUCGUUAACCCCAUCACAUUUCGCCAUGUGGAUCUAAGCCUCAUGGUCCUUUCGUUCGUACUAUGAAUAUAUUCCUUAUCUAGAGUCUGGAUCCUUUAUCUCUGCACGUGUCUAUGGCUCUUCACCCCAGCAAGUAUGGCAUUACAAGGGCAAUAUCGUCAUUAAAGACCCAAAAGGCAAACGAAUGGCAUUAUCUUCCUUUUGGGUCUAUUCUAUUUAUAUUUAUAUUGCAAGUUAUUCGUGAUGACUUCUCUCAUAACAGCUAAAAACCACUCCAACAGAGCACACUUCACUUCUUCGUUUUUGUCUUUCCUCUUUUUUUUCCAGAGAAGCUGAGAAAGCCCAGCUUGCCCUCAACUCCCCGAUGGGUUUGAUGAAUGUUCUCAAAUUCUCAGCUGCAUGCUUUGAUCUUCUUGGCUGGUAUGUUGUCCACGGAUUUUCUCGUCAUUGGAAAAUGAAGUGGAAUUCUAUGUUUGAGGACAAAACUGGGAUUUGCUUUGAUUUCUCCAUGUUGGUUUUAUCCCUUUCCUUUGAAUUGUCCACAUUCUUGUCAUUGGUUGUUAGUUAUUUGUUUGGAUUUCUACUUGCAGGCCUCUGUUUGCACUGGGUUAUCCUCUGUAAGUCUUGGUCUUACACCCCAAGAUAUGAUCAUUCAUUUACUCUUUUCUUGUUCUAUGAAUUCUUAGUUCUGUUACAUUUAUUGGGUUGGAUUAUUAGUUAUUAUAUUAAUAAUCAUCAACGUCAUCUCGGUUCUUCACAGAUGUGCUUCAAUUCGGGUAAUUGAGACUAACUCAAUCUCAGACGUUCGGAAGUUGGUGGCGUAUUGGGUUCUAUUUUCCUUGGUUUCACUCUUUGAUCAUACUUUUGCCAAGCUCCUUGAAUGGUAAUUUUGCUCAACUGCAUUCCACUAUAUGUGGCUCUAUUUCUUUCAUUUCUCUGCCCUUAAGGAAUUUGGAGUUGCUUUUUUCAGUUUUCUUCCCUGUGAAAAUAAUCGAGAUGUUUAAUGUUCCAGGCCUGCAUGCUCAAGGAAGUGGUGUCAGCUUUGGAAAUAAGAUGGAUCUACUAGUUUUUAUUUCUCAUCUUUAUAGGGAACUUUCCAUAAUCACAGUGAUGAAUAAUUGUCUUGUUUGAAAGCAUGGUUGCACUUAUUUCCAUGGAAUUUGUCUGCUGAGAAACAAAUGGAAAUAGAAAAUUCAGAAUCUGACAAGUUUGUGUAGGGCAACUGGAUCUAAUCUCUUAGUCGAAGCUUAAUUGGGGCAAAUGCUGAUCAUCUUUGGACCAUUGAAGGCUCUAAUCUGUGCACAAUUCUAAUGUUUUUGUUUUCUUCAUUUCUUUUUCAACUGUUCAUAAUAGAUGUCAAAAGAUAAAACCGAACUUAUGUAGUCCAUCCAAGUGGAUGCAUAUAAAUUUAACAGAAACUGAAAUUCGAAGAAAUUUAUUUAUUUUUUUAAAUAUUUUAUUUUCUUAUAUAAUGCAUGUCAGGAUACCAUUCUGGCCUUACAUAAAGCUGAUGGUCAUCUGCUGGAUGGUGAUACCGCAUUUUGAUGGUUCAUAUUAUGUCUAUCAACACCUAGUUCAUCCAUGCUUGUCCAUUGAUCCACAAGUUGUCAUGAAUUGGCUUUUCAAUGAAUCAAAAAAGAAGUUUCAUAGCAGAGAAAACUUUCUUGUUUCAGCAGACCAAUAUAUUAAGGAGAAUGGACCUGAAGCUUUGAAGAAACUACUUGCUAGGAAGGUAUGCCAUUAUAAGUAGGAUUAUCAACAAGUCAAACAGAGUUUUAUUUGAGAUGUUCAAGUAAAAAAUGACUAUAGCAGGUCAUCUAGAAUUAUGUGGUCUAAAUUCAUGUAUAUAUCUAUAUAUAAUUGUGUUCUCUUUUUUUCACAUAUGCAUGUGCAUUUAGAUUUACAUAAUUAUAUAUGCAUAAUCAGAUUCAACUGUGAUAGCCCGGGAUUUAAUUCAGUAAUCAACUCUUCUGGGAACAUGUUGGUUAUGGUUUCUCUCUCACUGUCCUCUUAUUUAUACAUGACUUUGGCUUCAGUUGAGGAGCACAAAGCCUAAUGUUGAAGUGAAAGAGAUCAAAGCACCUGCAGCACCGGAGAAAAAAGGGGAAGCGGUAUGCACUCUAAUGUGGCUAUUUUAUUUCUAUGGAGGCAGAUCCCCAGAAAAAUGUUGCUCAUGUAAAUUAGUGAUGCAUUUAAAAGAAAAACCACUUUAUGUAUGUUUCUGUGAAAAAGAGAACAAGUUUAUGGAUUAAGUGAUAUUUUUUAUGGUGAAAUAAUCAAUAAUUUUCAAAAUAAUAAUAUAUUCGUGCAUGUUUUUGCAAUUCAUGAAUUCCUUUUACGAUUGAUUCUUCUCACCUCAGUGGAAGUGUGAAGAGCCUAAUGUUGCAGAAAAGGAGAUCCAAGUAGUCAAAGUAACAGACAUAAAAAAUGGGGGGAUGGAGCAAAGAGGGUAAGUUUUCCUUUUUAUUUAUAAGGAAGGCUGUCUUCACACAAGGAUUAUUGUUAUUAUUUUUAAGACAUGAAUGUUGAAUGCAUUUGGAAUUGUCGUUGAAUCAUGUGAAGUGUGAAGGUGCAAAUGGUGCUAAGAAGGAGAUCAAAGUGAUGGAAGUAACACAGAUAACAUUUGGUGAUACAGAACAGUGGGUAAGGUUUCUUGUCAUACUUAAACGGCACCUCAUAUUUCACUAGGAUUAAUUUUGGCCUACAAACAUAUUUGGCUACAAGUUGAAGACAGAUUUCCAGAUACUGGUAGAAGUUGAGACAUAAGUAAUGAAUGAGUUUAGAAACAUGCACAACUCUUGUGUGAAACACAAUGAGAGUGGAAAAUAGCUAAGUUGAAAAAUGGCCAAAUACUAUUUUGUAGUUCCCCCCACCACUUAAGUAAUUUUUGUCAUCCUUUGUGAAUGGACAAUGCAGUCCCUUCAGUAAUUCCGCUAUAUUCAUGACUUGGUGAAGCAUAUAACCAUUAGUGUCUUGUCCUAAGUUGACCUUUAAUGAUGAUCCAUUGAGAGGGAUCUGACUUUUGUCAACCCUCUUAGAGGUUAAACAUACGGGGCUUAACCCACUUUUCAAUCUCAUUGGAUAUAUGGCACGUGGUAUCCUCUUCAUCUUGAAAGAGUGAAGUGGUCAUACUCUUUCCUCCGAGUCCAUCGUGGCCAUGCACUUCUGGCUCAUUGGGCUGAGUGAAAGGAUUCCCUUCUGCUUCAAAUCAUAGAGAGAUAUGCCAUGGUCAGCCUCUUUAAUUUGAAGGAUUGAAGUACUCAAAUCCAUUUCUUUGCAUCCAUCUUAGUCCUGCUUCCAUGUCUCAUGGUUAACCAGGAAGAUCAAGCUUCCAUCCAUGAGAUCAGCAUCUGCAGGGUUAUGACUCCACCCUUCCUUGGCAUAGGAAAGCGAUCAUUAAGCCACAUGUCGGAUGACAGAAGUCGUCAUUCAGGUUAUCUUGAGAACUAGGGAAGUUGGAAUUCUAAUUAUUGCAUAUGGUUCUUGAUGUUUAGCCAAUAUACUAUAGGAUUUUAAGCAUCAUGCCCAUGUGCAUUGUGGUUUUUUAUCAGCUAUAUGGUUUACCAAACUGAGGGAUUGAUUAUAGUCAUAAGUACCCUUUUCCCAUUAAUUUCUUGCAUGUGCUUUGCUGAGAUUAUGUUUUUGACAGUGCUAAUCAGGGCAAACCAACAAACAGCUUUAUGUUAACUUUUACAAACUGCCACAUUUUCAGGUUGAACGAUCAGACAUAAAUCUUGGUGAAACUAGAAGUAAUACAACCUGUGCUGUGGAGAUAAAAGAAAGGGCAGCAGCACUGGUGGCUGCAGAAAUUGAGGCAUGUAGAGACAAUAGAACCCCCGAGAUACCUCUGCAUAAGAAAGUCCAGAAAGAGUGGGCUUGUGCUGUAUGCCAGUUCACAACCCAAAGUGAAGUGACCUUCAAUUCCCACCUUCAAGGGAAGAGACAUCAGGCCACUUCUGAGCAGUUGAGAGCCAAAAACCAGGCAACCAAAACCAAUUGUUCCCCAUCUGCUUCAAAGGCCAAGAAAUCUGAUCAGUCCACCAAAGAGGAGCAACCAAAGUGUCCUUCCAACAAUCUGAAUUCCAAAAACAAUGGAAUCUCAGCUGCUUCAACAGUGAAGAAACCUGACGAGACCAAAGAUGAUGAGCAACAAAAGUGUGCAUCCAGCAAUGGACCAAACCAGAAGAAUAACAAAAAGCAAGAGGAGAAGGUGCUAGUUCUUGAGACCAAUGAGCAAGGCCAUCAGAAUAAUUUUGAUCCACGAUCCCACAUUUAUUUUGGGUCUCACAAGUUUCAAAUUUGCAGAAAAAUGAAAGAUGUUUGAGAGAAAAUUAAAUCAUAUUGCACUACUGUUAGGAAAAAUAUGGCUGAAUCCAAUUGCUUUUCUUCUCCAAGUCUAUUAAAAAUAUAAUUUUUUCUCCAUUCCUGACAAAAUUUAAAUUUUUUCCUUAAAAAAAAAAAAAUUAAGUUUGAUCACCUAACACAUCUUUCUAAACUCAAUCUCAACUUGAAAAAUCAAACCUUAAUGGAUGGACUAUAGAAAUAGUGAGAAAACACUUCUGGGGUUUUUUUUUUCUUCCAACAUCAAAUUUUUCUAUAUAUGGGAUUUCACAUGCAAAAGCAGGAGUAGAUUUGCUUGUGUUUGAUGUAUGUAUUAGAAAAAUUUGUCCCUUCUGGGAUGUUUAAUACUUUUCUAUUCUUUUAUAUGCAUGUUUAGCUAGAAGAUAUAGAAUCGAUACCAUUCCUUAAAAGUGAUAGCCACAACUGUGAUAAUUAAACACCAAAGAAUGUGAAGAUCUAUAUAUUCUUUUUUUUUUCCUCUCUCUUUCAAUAAUGAAGCUAAGAUGUGUUGUAAGCAUCAAAUGCAUUGUCUCUGCUUGAAUAUAUACAAAGCCAAGGACCACAAGAUGGAUAGAUAUGGGGACGCACAAAACUUCUCAAACAUGAUUAUAUUAAUCAAGAAUUCAACUAAGCUUAAAUUCAAGAUGUUGAUUUCUAGCAUCUCUGGUGCUAUAGGAUGACUAUUGAUCCUGUACUGUUAUGUGCCCUACUGAUAUAUUCUUCGGGUUGUUAUGUAUAAAUAAAAUUUUUGGGAAAGUUUGCUUGGUGGUUACACUAUCACUAUUUAGGCCAGUAAAAAUUGGAAGCCUUUGUAAAAAACUGAUGGUCCAAGAGCUAUUCUACUUCAUCAUCCAUGUAAUAUGACGAUACAAAUUUGACUAAAUGCAGCUAUAGAAGGCUUAGGACCAUAAACCAAGCCUAGUCGAUGUCACUCACCUAAAUUUAUGCAUAAAGCUUUUGGAUGGCUCAGAGUUAUAUUUAAUUACUGUUAUGUUCGCAACUAUAUUUUCAUUGGAUUUAUAGUCCAGCUUGAGAACUAGUCCUCCAUUGCACAUAAUGUCCACACAAGGCCACAGUGCCCGCUCAAAGGCCAUAGCGCUACUCAAGGAUAUAGUGCUUACUCAAGGCCAUAGAGCCCACCUAAGGCUAACGACCCAAAAGGAGAAAAAGGUUGGUUCCACGUACUCUAAUAUUUACUAGAAAAGGUUCUUCCUAUUAAAGAACAAAAAAUUGCAUUCCCUUGUGACCAAUCCAAACAGUAGACCACUGACUUGUAUAAGGCAUUAUUCACCAUGCAAGCACUUUUUCAGCAACCUACCAUCUGGCAUGAACCAUUUUGGAUUGAUUCACAAAGCAAUGGUGUUAUAUUAAGCAUAUUCAAUAUAGAACCAAAUUGUGCCUCCUUAGAUUAACUAAAAUAUUUCCAUUGCAAGAUGUGCAGAUAGGCAUAUGAUCAUGAAGUAAUUUCCUGAUGAUAAUACCCCACAAAAUAUUUCUUUUUCUCACUGAUCUCUCCUAGAUUUUCAGUUCACCCAUCCAUGGCGCCUGACUAAAAAUGGGGGCAUUUUGGAUACCCCGAGCAGUAAGUUAGCCUGGUAGGCAUCCCGUUGCAAGCAAAGUCAACCCGAGCGGUCCAUUUGACCAAAGCUUAUCCAGGCAGUAAGCGUCCAUAUACAGCUAACUGUUAUGCACCAUCAACAGGUUGAGGUUACAAGAUUAAAGAGUCAUAAUGGCCAAAUGGAAGUUACACGACUCGGCCUAUAUAAUAACAGUAUGACAAAAAAUGCAGGUAUGAAGAACUAUCACUGAAAAAAUUUAUUCCUAAAAAUCCUUUAAGCUCCUUUAAGCUAACUUGGGCAUUGGAGAGGUCUCUCCGAAGCACACUCGAGCUUACCUUUUUGUAAGACAUCGAGAACAAGAGGCAUUGAAGUGAUUGUCCGGAGGGUUGAACUUGGUCGGGAACCAACAAUACACACUAUUCAAAAAUAGGGAUCAUAUUAAAUUAUUAAUGCAACCAUAGGAAGCAAUUGAGGACAAGGGUGUUAUUUGAUUAAAAGGGUAAUUGAAAACCUAAAUUUUGAAAUUUAACCCUCCAUUCUAUUUGGCCUUAUGUGAACAAAAAUGCCUUCAUUAUUUUCUUGUAAAAAUAACUCACCCAUUUAAACCUUACAUGAAAAUACUUAAAAUGGUAAAUGAUAUGUUAAAAAUUGAUUAUUUUUCAAAUAAAACAUAAGAAGGGUCAAAUUCAUGAAAGGAUUAUUUCAUCCCUUUUAAUCAAUUAAUUCGAUUUAUUUCUUUUUAUUUUUUUUCUCUCCAUGUUAAUUUUCACAUCACCCAACAACACCACUCUUAAUUCACACAAGUUUGAAGUUUUUGAAUGAGAUAUAUUCGUAAUUAUAUUGUAAUUGUGUUAUAAUAACCAUUUCGUACUUGGAUUUGUUCUUUCAGUCCAUUUAACCUUUUUGUUUAUUCAUGUCAAAACAAUGUACUUAUAAUCGAAUCCAUUUAUGACAUGUUGAUCUUAUAUAAAUUUAUUAAUUUUAUAUAUUUAAAAAUUAUAAAAAUUAAAUAUACUUUUUCAAUUAUGAAUAUCAUAUUACUAAAAUAUUAAAUAACAAAUUAACUUGAAAUGCUAUAUAUUUCAUUAAUUAUUUUAUAAUUAAAACAUUAAAUGAAAUAAUAAACAAGUAUAAAAUAGAAAAUUCUAUCUUAGUUAGAAAUUAUAAACUGUUAUUGAGACAUAUAAGUAUUAAAAUUCUACCCAUUUCACUACCAAACAACUUAUGUUUUUAGUCAUAAUUUAACCUUAUGAUGAACACUUAAAUAAAAUUUGUCAUCUUUUUCUAUUGAUUUAUAUUUAUUUAUUUAAAAAUUUUGUCUGGCAUAAACUAUCAUCUCACAAAAUCAUCAUUGAUGAGUAGGCUAUGCCCCAGUGUAAGCAUCUCCAAAUCAAACAUCAAUGAGAGGAGUACAACCAAUCAUACAUCAUCUUAUCAAAAUGAAUCUCCGCUUUUCAAAGUCAUCGUGGUAACGUGAAGAGAGUAUUUGACCUCCUCUAAAGAAAAAACAUGUCUUGAUGUGAAAAAGAUCAAGCAAAGUGGUAUGCCUCAACAAAAAUGUGCUCAAACAUGAUCAUGCCCCGAUGUAAGUUAGUAUCUCUAAGAUCAAUCGCCAAUGAAAAGGUUAUUCCCCAGUAUAGGGCAAACUCUGAAAUGACUAAACUCCGUUGCAAGCUCUCAUAAGUGUCUGUGUCAUGAUCCAAUCAUCGCAAAAAUUUGUCAACAAUGAUGAGAAGGCUAUGCUCCUAUAAUCACAUCAAAGAAAUCACUCGGUCAUAUUACUCCAAUGUGAAAGAAAUCUAAUCACCUCCAAGGAACAGCUAUGCCUCAAAACCAUCAUCGACUGAGAGGGGGAUGCCCCUGAUCCAAUCACCACCCUAACUAACGUACCCAUCAUGAGGAACACUUGUUUGAGCUCCAUAAUGGGGAUCAACCAUUAGAUGAACAAGAUUCGAAUAUUACUUGCUCCCCAUUUCAACCAAUGAAUGAUGUACCUGGAAACCUUGUAGACAACCAUAGUUUUCAGCCUUCUUCCUCGCGAUCAUCUAGAACAGAGUCGGUAAGCUUCACUCAUUUCUUAUAAUGGACCUUGACCCACAACGUCGAACUACCUGUAUGCAAAAUUAUCCGUCCAGAAAACCCAUCCAUACAAUUCAGGUUCAAAACCCACAAGAACCACCCUAUGAAUAAACUAAUUAUAGCUGGCUUCGUUGCAAUAGGCAUUAACUUUCUUAUGCUGACAGUCCUAGCAUCAUUUACCAAAGGAUCAACAACUUUUCCAUGUCAGAGAACAUUAUCAAUCACAAUGACACCCCUGGUCCUCACUAGUUGCGAUAGCAAUUUAAAGUAUUCUUGAUUCAAAGGGUAAACAAAACAAAAAAGAAAACCCUAAGUGUGACUCCUUAUUUGAAAAAUGUGGUUUAUGAAAAACCGGAUCGAGCUUAGGGGUCAGGUUACUUAUCGGGAAGGUACAAAAAAAACCGUAGCACCCCUCUAAGUCCCUAAAAUGGGUCUCUAUUGAUAAAAUGAAGCAAUCAUGGCAAUUGGUAAGGAAAUCAUUGAGUAUCAACAUGAUCACACAUUGAGAGUUAAAGCAUGCAUGAGGAAUGGUCAAAGUGAGAAAGGAUGCGUACCUUAGCAACGAGUCCCAAUGCGCUAUCAAGAAAUUGGGUUAGUGCACAAUCAAUAAAUAUAAAAUAUAACACACAUGCAUCACUAAAUAGGGUAAUAAAUCCCCGAUGACAAACCUUGCACUUCACUCAGGUUUAUUUCUACUUCUCUGAUGUUGGGCCCCACCAAAGCUCAUUUUAUUUUGCAUGAAUCAACUCCAAUAACUCCAUUAUUCGGAAUUACGAAAUUUAAUUCUUGCUUAUUUUAAAGCAUUUUAAAAAUAGAGGAGAUAUGAGAAUUGCUCGCCAGAAAAGAAGAUGGCGGCAAAAUUUUAAUGAAAAACGAGUUUUUGGAACCUAAGAAAAAUGUUAAGGAUGGAAAAUUUUGGAGGUUUGAAAUUAAUUAAAAAUUAGAAUUGAGGAAUUUAUUUACAAAAUGGGGUUUAGGAAAAUUAUUUUCAAAAAAAAAAAAUGAUGAAAUGAGAGAUGGCACGUGACACAAGGGUGGCCAUGCUGAAGGCGUUCUCUUCUGGCCCAAGCUGGAAAUGCACUCCAAUUAUCCUUCUUUUCUGGUAUAACACCUUCAUCAAAAUAAAUAGCUUUUGCACCAUACUCUGAUAGACAAGGACCAAUAACAAUGCCUAUAUUUGCCUUAAGUAGACAAAGUAAGUCACCCAUUGAACCUCCAAUAUAAAUUGUCAAGUGCUCUGUGUCAUUACUGCAUCCCUCCUUCAAGAUGUCCUUAGAAACCUAAAGCUUUUCCACGACAUACUCCAUCUUCUUAAUGAUUUCACCCGUGGAAAUGGAUUCUUCACAAGCCAACUCAUUUGAAUAUACUCUCAAAACACCCAUAUCACCUGAUGAAAAUGCUGAUCUAACGAAAUCGCCACACCAACAGUAUGAAAGUCCAUGAACAUCUGCUUUCAGAUUAUUAUUUUUAAGAAUCUUUUGGAAGAAACCUGUGCAACCAUCUUGAAGAAUUAGACCUUGACCAACCUGUUUUAUAUCAUCUGAAUUUAAACCCUUCAAUACUCCAGACUGAGUCACUCUUGAAUCUGCCUUUUCCUCAAAAUCAGAAAGUUGCUCAAGUGCUUUACAUAAGCCUUCAUAAUUGAAUUUUUCCACUGUUUCACUGGGGACGAUGCUUCCCAUGCAUUUUUCAAGCUCUUCAGUAUGCUGGGUAGAUAGAACACCCCAUGUGUGUGUCCAGAUCACCAUGAGUGACCAUUUGAACCUUGACGAAUGAGAGAGUACAUAACAUUUAAGCACACAGGACAUAUAUUAACAUUCUCCAUUAGCUUCUCUUUGCCUUUGUCCACCUCUUGACCUCCCAUGCAGCCAACUGUGAAGACCACGUCCAGGUGCAGUCACGUGGUGACACAUCUCAUGGUCUUCCUCAUCCAAUAAAUCACAUGCUCUGUUAAAUCUGCUACCCGAAUGGAUACCUCCUAUCCAUCAACCUGAAUAUACUCCGAGCUUUCUUCAUAAAACCCAAGAAACUCCAGAAGGCAUCAUGGUUCUCCUCCAUCAUUGAAAUGAUUAGGGAUAGUAAAUCACUCAUCCCUUAGCAAUAUCCCAUUUUUAAACCAUAGGGUGCGUAGGCUUCUAGAAUAGUAGCAAAGUGAGCAACACGGAAAAUCUUGCGUGGAUCCAAGUUCCAUGAUGGUGAUCGUAGCCUCACCUUUGAAAUCACAAGACCCAGAACCCAUUCGUUCUUCCUGGUAAUAACUAUCAGAUGCAUAGGAGGCAGGGUUCUUCAGAUUGUUGAUUUGGUAAAAGCCUCUUCUGGUUGAACCCCUGAAUGAUUCACUUUUCUCAGUCCGCAAACCUAGUUCAGAACAGCCCGCAAGAUCAGAACCUUAACCUAGGCGUGGAGAUCCAGUGUUGUAUAACGCCUCAAUUGUCGGAAGCAGCCAUGGCCCAAACAAUGAUAUAAUGGUCAGCAAGUUGUCCCCAAGGACCAUGACAGUGAUGAGCAUUUCCGGGCAGCGCGUCACCACGUUCCACGUCGCGACGGUAAUGGCUAUGGACUGAGUGUCAUGGUCAGGGAGCUUGAUGAAGCAGGUGAAAAUCUGGUGUUUUAGAUUCUGAGGCAAUGACUGCUUGAUCGGUCGGAUUCUAGUACCGGCGUUACAUUGGGGAGGCAAUCUUAAAGUUCCAACGGAGGUAGUAGUGGACUAAUAUUCCUCAAUAACCAAACUUGAGUUUCUCACUUUCCGCUUCUCAAGGCAUUCACCUGAAACGCUUCAGGCGCCCAAACCCUUUCUGCUCAUCAGUAUAAUCACGCGCAUGAAAGUCUUAACUGCCUUCUAAACUUCACAACUUCAUCUUGCAUCUGGGUCAUCGUCGGCACGAACUUAUCACCUGAUUCAGUUAAUAUCCCCAUAUAACAAGUUCCAAUGAAGUCGCAACUUUGCAUCUUCUUUUCUGCGAUUACUUUGAUUCUCAAAGCCGAUUACUUGUUGCAGUCCAUAGGAGAUUCAAUAAUCAAACAUCAUGCACAAGCAAAAAGGCAACAAAAUACAUCGGCAUGUGGCCCAUACACCCUCCAAAAUCUUCACUCAUUUAGUAAGUUUUAGAUUCAAAAGAGUUAGCCUUCUGGUGAGCAACCCGAUACCCAUAACGAAUGAUGUAUCUGAAACACCUUUCCCACGUGGCCCUUGAAGGAUUCACUAGAAGGUGACCAUGCAUAGUAGGUCUUCACUCGCAGGAGAAUGAGAAGGAAAUAAACCUAAAGGGGGGUUGACAGCGUAGUCUAGAAGGUGAUGAGCUGAGCGGGUGGGGGUAUUAGGGUGGUCAAGUUCAGUGGGUAUGAAGGGUGGAAAGAUGGCAUGAUAGAGGAAUAAGCAGCUGAUAGUGGGUGCGAUGAUAUAAGGUAGGUUGACUAUGGAGAGUAUGGCAUUAAAGGAUGAAGACUUAGAGAGAGAGAGGUGGGUUUAAGGGUAUGGUGAGAUGGAGGGUUGAGGGUGAUAGGCUUGGAUAGUUGCAUGAGGAGGAUGAAAGGUGGGUAUGGAAAAUGUGCAUGGGUAGGAAAUGGGUAUAACAAUGGGUGUGAAUAUUGAGAGGUAGUGAAAUGAAGGCAGCCUUGCUCGUAUGGAUCAGUGUCGGAUUGAGUUAAGAAUGGUGAGAGAAAGGGAUUCGAUGAAUAUUGAAUGAUGGAAAAUGGUGAUUGGUUAGAUAGGGAUUUGUGGUCGAAUGGAAAUAGGAGACAUGAACAUAGAGAUGAGUGUGAUGGAUGAUAGUGGGCAUGAAGGGUAUUGGAUUUGUUCAUGGGUAUAGUGGUUAAAAGAGUGGUGAGAAGAAAAAAAAAUGGCCAUGUAAAUAGCAAUUAUACAUGUGGGCCCGUGAUUGCAAACGGGACUGCAUUGUUGCAUCUCAUGCUGAACCCUCACCUCCUUCUAGGAUCAUUUUCUGCAUCAAAGCUAGAUAAACUUAGAUGGUAUUUCCUGCCAAUUUUGGAUGCCCCCCACUUUGGAAAUAUUUCCUUUUCACCCAUCAGAAUAUGCUUAUCAGGUGUACUUGACUCAGGUUCAUUCCCAUAUUGCCUCUCUGAUUUAUGAUCUUCAAAGGUUUUGCAUGAAGGAAGCCUUUCACUGCAUUCCCCUUCAUCCACCAGACCUUCAGAGCAUCGUUUCCAACAAAAGCAACCUUGACUCUUCUAGUCCCAUCAGAAAAAAGUCUGAAUAUCCUCAGUUUAUGUCAUCCCUUGAUGCCCAACUCAGAAAUGAUCCAAAAAACAGUCAUCUCCCAUAUUUGGCUUCCCAGAAACACCUCGACUCAGAUGGCCAGUCCAAAUGUGAUACCCAACAUUCUAAAAAUGCUAAAAACAGAGGAGAUGAUGAAGAAAAACAGAGCAUGUAUAAAAGAAAAAAAAAAGGACUGUUAAAUCUCACUCCAUUCCAUAAAUGCUAAUGGGGUGGAUAUGGUGGAAUCAAAAGGAAGCAAGAGCGUGAUCUUCAAAAUCAAAAGCAAUGAUGGAUCCAUAUUCAAAACGUUCCAGAAUAGAGAAAGACACAAAUAAGGAGCAGGGUUUUUUUUUGUUACUGGCAGGAAGAUAUUUUUUCUAGAGAGUAACUAGAGAGAAAAAUAGGAAGAAAAGGGAAGAGCAUAGAAGACAUCUACAUAGGAGAGUAUUCAUUGUUGUGAGGAGUAGUAGAGAGCUUAGGAGGAGUUACAAAGAGAGUGAGUUUGGUUAGAGGAGGAAGUUUUGUUGGUUUUUCAGAAAGGAUUCUAGCUUGAGUGAGAGCCAUUCUAGAGAGGGUUAGAGAGGAGAAAGGUGUGUUUUGAGCAGCAAAGACACGAAGCAAAAUAGAGCAGCCAGGAAAGAGAAGCAGAAAAUCAAAAUUACUAAAAAAUUAGUGAAAGCUGUGAAAUUUCAUAUUGUUACUAAUUAUUAUAAUUUUUUUUUGUAUUUUCAAUAUUUCAACCAAUAUUUUAUAUAAUUAAAUUUAAAUUAUAAGAAUUAUAUUAUUAAUACACAUAACUAUCUUAAUGUUUUAACAAUGUAUACUUAUUUAAAUUUAUUUCAAUUUUUUUAUUUUUUUAUAAAUAUCUAAUUAGACUUAUAAUUCAUUGAAAUUAUUCAUUUUUUUUUUACUUCAUAAACCAAUUAUAUUACUUUUUGUAUUUUCAAUAUUCAUUUGGAAAAAAUAAUUUCAAUUUAAAAUAAAAUAAAUUAAUUAACUCUCAAUUUAUAAAUUGUGUCAUUGAAUUAUUUUUUAUUUAUAAUAUUUAGUUUAUUUUAAAUUUAAUUUUUUUUCUUCACCUUUUGGUUUAUCACUUUAUAUUAAAAAAUAAAAUAAAAUUGAAUUUCUUUUAAUUUAUAUUUUCACAAAUUAUUCAAUAUUUUUUUAAUUUUUAUAAAAUAAAUCCUCAGAUUAUAUAAUUGGAUGUUGUAAAGAGUUAAAAUUUUUGUGUUGCAUUGAAUUAUUUUUUCUAACAAAAGUAUAUUUGGGUACCGUAGACAUUAUAUCCAUAUCUUAACGUAUUAUAUACUUUUAUUUUGUGCAAUUAGCAAUUGAGCGGAAGACGCGGAGCCGGCUAACGGAAAUACCGCGUGUCACGCGUGUCCCUUCCCGUACCAAGUCUCAACUGCUUCAAGAUUUCCGACGCGCCCUUCUUCGCUUAACUCUUAAGUCUUUUCUUCCACUCUUCCUUAAACCCAUCACAUUUCGCCGCGUGGACCUAAGUCUCAAUGUCCUUGUGUUCAUACGAUGUAUGUUCCCCCAAUUCCUCAUCUACACUGAAACUCCAUACUCGCCUACUCAAUCACUUCUCUACUCUAGAGUCUGGAUGCUUAUCUCUGCGCGUGUCGAUGGCUCUUCACCCCAGCGAGUAUGGCAUUACAAGGGCAAUAUCGUCAUUAAAGACACAACAGAGUGUCUAUUUUAUUUAAGCUGUACGUAAUCGUGAUUGACUUCUUAGUAUCCUUUUGCUCCUAGUCUUCUCCCGCGUCUCUUAUAAAAACUAAAGAAAACCACUCCAAGAGAGCACACUACAAGAAUCUUCUUCCUUUUUUUCUUUCCUCUUUCUCUUUACAGAUAAACUGAGAAAGCCCAGCUCAUCCCUCAAUUCCCAGAUGGGUUUCAUGAAUGUUCUCAAGUUCUCAGCUGCAUGCUUUGAUCUUCUUGGCUGGUAUGUUGUCCACGCGUUUUCUUGCCAUUGGAAAUUUUUGGGAAAUGAAGUGGAAUUCUCUGUUUGAGGACAAACAUGGGAUUUUCUUUGAUUUCUCCCUGUUGGUUUUAUCUAUAUUCUUUGAAUUACCCACAUUCUUGUCAUUGAUUGUUAGUCAUUUGUUUGGAUUUCUACUUGCAGGCCUCUAUGUGCACUGGGUUAUCCUCUGUAAGUCUUGGUCUUACACCUCAAGAUAUGAUGAUUCAUUUACUCUUUUCUUGUUCUACGAAUGGUUCAGUUACAUUUAUUGUGUUGGGAAACUGAAAAGGAAAAGGAUUAUUAGUUAUUAUCGUAAUAAUCAUCAACAUCAUCUCGGUUCUUCACAGAUGUGCUUCAAUUCGGGCAAUUGAGACUAACUCAAUCUCAGACUUUCGGAAGUUGGUGGCGUAUUGGGUUCUAUUUUCCUUGAUUUCACUCUUUGAUCAUGCUUUUUCCAAGCUCCUUGAAUGGUAAUUUUGCUCAACUGCAUUCCACUAUAUGUGACUCUGUUUGUUUCAUUUCUUUGCCCUUAAGGAAUUUGGAGUUGCUUUUUUCAGUUUUCUUUCCUAUGAAAAUAAUCGAGAGGUCUCCAUGUAUUUUAUAUUCCUUCAUUUCUCUGCUUUGACAAAGGCCCACAUUCUGAUCAGCAGAAAGGUUAUAACAUUUGAAAAAGAAGUGCUUUAUUUUUGUUUUUUGUUAGUACAAUAAUUUUCGUUUGGAUAAAUGGUCUGAAGGGUGUUUGUGUUUGGCUGAGUUCAUGGAAUUUUCUAGCUAAUUUGGGAUUUAUUCUCAAUUUCAAGAUCAUUGUGGAUAUGUCAGAAAUUAAUGAAAUAUAAACGGUGGAAUGUGAUUUUCUUGUUUAAGAAAAGUUUUUCUUUGAAAAUACGGGUGCACCUGACCUACCUUAUUGUGCUACUUGGAACACAAAACAUUAGUACAGGUAAUUUAUUAACUAAAUUGUACACUUUUUGAUAGUUCAAGGAGGUGGUUUUCUUCUUUUAGGGUGUCAGCUUUGGAAAUAGGAUGGAUCUAAAAGUUUUUAUGUCUCAUCUUUAUAGGGAACUUGAAAGCAUGGAUGCACUUAUUUCCAUGGAAUUUGGCUUCCUUGAAAUCAAAUUAAGCUUUAUGCAUCAUUUGGAUGCUGAGAAACAAAUGGAAAUAGAAAAUUCAGAAUCUGACAAGUUUUUGUAGGGCAACUGGAUCUAAUCUCUUAGUCGAAGCCUAAUUGGGGCAAAUGCUGAUCAUCUUUGGACCCCAUUGAAAGCUCUAAUCUGUGCACAAUUCUAAUGUUUUUGUUUUCUUCAUUUCUUUUUCAACUUUUCACAAUAGAUGUCAAAGGUUAAAACCAAAUUUACGCAGUCCAUCCAAGUGGAUGCAUAUAAAUUUAACAGAAACUGAAAUUCGAAGAAAUUUAUUUUCCCUUUUGUAAAUGGUGUUUAAAUAUUUUAUUUUCUUAUAUAAUGCAUGUCAGGGUACCAUUCUGGCCUUACAUAAAGCUGAUGGUCAUCUGCUGGCUGGUGAUACAGCAGUUUGAUGGUUCAUAUUAUGUCUAUCAACACCUAGUUCAGCCAUGCUUGUCCAUGGAUCCACAAGCUGUCAUGAACUGGCUCUUCAAUGAAUCAAAAAAGAAGUUUCAUAGCAGAGAAAACUUUCUUGUUUCAGCAGACCGAUAUAUUAAGGAGAAUGGACCUGAAGCUUUGGAGAAACUACUUUCUAGGAAGGUAUGCCAUUAUAAGUAGGAUUAUCAACAAGUCAAACAGAGUUUUAUUUGAGAUGUUCAGGUAAAAAAUGACUAUAGUAGGUCAUCUAGAAUCAUUUGGUCUAAAUUCAUGUAUAUAUCUAUAUAUAAUUGUGUUCUCUUUUUUUCACAUAUGCAUGUGCAUUUAGAUUUACAUAAUUAUAUAUGCAUAAUCAGAUUCAACUGUGAUAGCCCGGAAUUAUUUCAGUAAUCAACUCUUCUGGGAACAUGUUGGUUAUGGUUUCUCUCUCACUGUCCUCUUCUUUAUACAUGACUUUGGCUUCAGUUGAGGAGCGCAAAGCCUAAUGUUGAAGUGAAAAAGAUCAAAGCACCUGCAGCACCGGAGAAAAAAGGGGAACAGGUAAGUUCUCUAAUGUGACUAUUUAAUUUCUAUGAGGCAGAUCCCCAGAGAAAUGUUGCUCAUGUAAAUUACUGAUGCAUUUGAUUCAAUGGCAUGGUUUUAAAAGAAAAACCACUUUAUGUAUGUUUCUGUGAAUAAGAGAACAAGUUUAUGGAUUAAAUGAUAUUUUUUAUGGUGGAUUAAUCAAUAAUUUUCAAAAUAAUAAUAUAUUCGUGCAUGUUUUUGCAAUUCAUGAAUUCCUUUUAUGAUUGAUUCUUCUUGCCUUUUUUCUCACCUCAGUGGAAGUGUGAAGAGCCUAAUGUUGCUCAAAAGGAGAUCCAAGUUGUCAAAGUAACAGAGAUAAAAAAUGGGGGGGAUGGAGCAAAGAGGGUAAGUUUUGCUUUUUAUUUAUAAAGUAGGCUGUCUUCACACAAGGAUUAUUAUCUUUAAGACAUGAAUGUUGAAUGCUUUUGGAAUUGUCCAUGAAUCAUGUGUAGUGUGAAUGGCCUAAUGCUGCUAAGAAGGAGGUCAAAGUGACAGAAGUAACACACAGAACAUUCGGUGGUACAGCACAGUGGGUAAGGUUUCAUGUCAUAUUUAAAUGGCUCCUCAUAUUUCACUAGGAUUAAUUUUGCCCCUACAAACAUAUUUGGCUACAAGUUAAGACAGAGUUCCAGAUGCUGAUAAAGUUGAGACAUAAGUAAUGAAUGAGUUUAGAAACAUGCACAACUCUUGUGUGAAACACAAUGAGAGUGGAAAAUAGCUAAGUUGAAAAAUGGCCAAAUACUAUUUUGUAGUUCCCCCUACCACUUAAGUAAUUUUUGUCAUCCUUUGUGAAUGGAAAAUCCAGUCCCUUCAGUAAUUCCGUUAUAUUCAUGACUUGGUGAAGCAUAUAACCAUUAGUGUCUUGCCUUAAGUCGACCUUUAAUGAUGAUCCAUUGAGAUGGGUCUGACUUUUGUCAACCCUCUUAUUCCCUUGAUCAUAGAGGUUAAACUUAGGGGGCUUAACCCACUUUUGAACCUUAUUGGAUAUAUGGCACAUGGUAUCCUCUUCAUCUUGAAAGAGUGAAGUGGUCAUACUCUUUCCUCUGAGUCCAUUGUGGCCAUGCACUUCUGGCCCAUUGGGCUGAGUGAAAGGAUUCCCUUCUGCUUCAAAUCAUAGAGAGAUAUGCCAUGGUCAGCCUCUUUAAUUCAAGGGAUCGAAGUACUCAAAUCCAUUUCUCUGCAUCCAUCUUAAUUCUGCAUUCAUGUCUCAUGGUUAACCAAGAAGAUCCAGCUUCCAUCCAUGAGAUCAGCAUCUGCAGGUUUAUGACACCACCCUUCCUUGGCAUAGGAAAGGGAUCAUUAAGCCAUGUGUUGGAUGACAGAAGUCAUCAUUCAGGUUAUCUUGAGAACUAAGGAAGUUGGAAUUCUAAUUAUUGCAUAUGGUUCUUGAUGUUUAGCCAAUAUACCGUAGGAUUUUAAGGAUCAUGCUCAUGUGCAUUGUGGUUGUUUAUCAGCUAUAUGGUUUACCAAAAUGAGGGACUGAUUAUGGUCAUAAGUACCUUUUUCCUAUUAAUUUCUUGCAUGUGCUCUGCUGAGAUUAUGUUUUUGACAGUCCAAAUCAGGGCAAACCAACAAACAGCUUUAUGUUAACUUUUACAAACUGCCACAUUUUCAGGUUAAACGAACAGAGAUAAAUCUUGGUGAAACUAGAAGUAAUACAACUUGUGCUGUGGAGAUAAAAGAAAGGGCAGCGGCACUGGUGGCUGCAGAAAUUGAGGCAUGUAGAGACGAUAGAACCCCCAAGAUACCUCUUCAUGAGAAAGUCCAGAAAGAGUGGGCUUGUGCUGUAUGCCAGGUCACAACCCAAAGUGAAGCGACCUUCAAUUCCCACCUUCAAGGGAAGAGACAUCAGGCCACUUCUGAGCAGCUGAGAGCCAAAAACCAGGCAACCAAAACCAAUUGUUCCCCAUCUGCUUCAAUGGCCAAGAAAUCUGAUCAGUCCACCAAAGAGGAGCAACCGAAGUGUACUUCCAACAAUCUGAAUUCCAAAAACAAUGGAAUCUCAGCUGCUUCAACAGUGAAGAAACCUGAUGACACCAAAGAUGAUGAGCGACAAAAGUCUGCAUCUAGCAAUGAACCGAACCAGAAGAAUAACAAAAAGCAAGAGGUACAGACCAAUGAGCAAGGCCAUCAGAAGAACUUAAAGCAAACUGGCGAUGGAAUGAAAGAGUUGAGAUUAUGCUGCAAUAUCUGUAAUGUAAGCUGCACAAGUGAGCUUGACAUGGCCUCUCAUCUCAAUGGAUGGAGGCACUUUAAUAUGAUAAAGGAGGCGUCUGAAUUAUGGUGCAGUAACUGCAAUGUAAGGUGCAACAGUGAGGCUGUCAUGGCCUCUCACCGAAAUGGGAGGAGGCACUUGAAGCAGCUGAAGGAACGGUCGGGAUUAUAGUGCAGUAUCUGUAGCGUGAGAUUGUGUUAGGAAGAGGUGGAAUGGGUUCCAAUCAGGAAUUAAGACUCGGUUCCAAGACAUGGAAAGUGUCUUUAGAUUAUGUUAUCUCCAUUUUUUUUAUUGUGAGAGGGGAGUAUAAGGAAUGAAAAUAAAUAUAUAUAUAUUUUUUAAUAGAGAUGAAUUUGAUAAUUUUAAUUAUUGUGUUUUGAUGUAUUUAGGAAUGUAAAAUUAAAAUAAUUAUUUAUUUUCAUUUUAGUAUUUGACAAUAAUAAAAUUAUGAAUUAAAAAAUAAUGUGAUAAUAAUACAUUUAUAUUUAAUUUAAAAUAUUUUUUAUUUUAUUUUAGAAGAAUAUGGGUUAAAUUCUUUUUUUAAAUAAUAAGCUUAAGAAAAAUAAUUUUUACUCAAUAAAUAAAAUUAAUCAUAAAAAGUCAUAACAACCUAAUAAAAAUAUAGGGGUAAAAUAAUAAUUUUAAAAUAUUAUUUAAGUUAUCCAAACAAAUUUGACUCUUCAUUCUCUCUCUUGAACCAAAUACGGUCUUUUAAGCGUUUGUCAACUUAUUUUUUUUUGCAAAAUAUCAAUAUUUUACUAAUAUUUUUAUCGAUUAUUUGCCAAUAUUUAUCGCCACGUCACCAAUUCUUUGAGUUUGACUUUCAAAAUUUUGAAAUGAUAUUUGAAGUCCAGUUCAGCCCAAAUCACUACACCCAUGAUUUUUCCCUUUUCUUUUUCUCCUUAAUUUUCACAUCACCCAACAACACUACUCUUAAUUCACACAAAUUUGAAGGUUUGGAACGAGACUUCUUCCUAAUUAUAUUGUAAUUAUGUUAUAAUAACCAUGUCGUAUUUGGAUUUAUUUAUUCAGUCCAUCUAAAUCUUUUGUUUAUUCAUGUAAAAAGAAUAUAGUUAUAAUCGAAUCCAUUUGUGACAUAUUCAUCUUUUAUAAAUUUAUUAAUUUUAUAUAUUUAAAAACUAUAAAAAUUAAAUAUAUUUUUUCAAUUAUGAAUAUCAUAUUACUAAAAUAUUAAAUAACUAAUUAACUUGAAAUGUUUUAUAUUUCAUUCAUUAUUUUAUAAUUACAACAUUAAGUGAAAUAAUAAAUAGGUUAAAAUAUAUAUUUUAUUUUAGUUAAAAAUUAUAAAUUGUUAUUGAGACGUAUAACUAUUAAAAUUCUACCCAUUUGACCAUCAAACAAACAACUUAAGUUUUUAGUCAUAAUUUAAGCUUCUGAUAAACUCUAUUUCCAUAAAUUAGAAACCGAAAUCAAUUUCUUCUUAGACUCAAAAACAUAAAGACAAUCUUUUAAUUCUAGAAGACAUCUAUCAUUUAAGAUAAGGGUAACAUAUCCCAUUGCCUAAACAACAACUCUUGCUUCAAAAGCCAAUGUCAAGUACAUAUCCCUAUCAUUCAACCUUUCCCUUAGCUAAAACCCCUAUAAAGAAUUAUAAACAUAAUCAAUGGCUCCAAAAUUUAUCCACCAAGAGUUAGUGGAAUCCAACACUAAACAUAAUUCAACUAUAAGAGAAUGAUGCAUAGUUGACUAUCUCUUCAAGAACUAAGGACAUUCCUUCUUCUUCUAAUGGCAUUUUUUACCACAAAGGAAACACUUGUCAUGACCCUUACUCUUCUUCUUCUUCCCCUUAGCCUUAAACUUCCCCUUCUGCUUGAUGAACUCUAUAGUGUUCUUCUUAUUUUGGCUAGAAAAACCUAAAGAACCCUUAACUGCCAUAUAAAUACCUCUCUGGUCCUUGAGAAUUCCCUCAGUCAUUUUGUGUUCUCUCAUUAGUUCAAUUGUAGUUUAAGAAAAAUAAUGUUUUUUAUUUUAUUUUAUGUGAUUGAACUUGGAAUGAAUUUCCAAGUUGCAUACAUACUUGGGUUGAGAUCAAGUCAUAACGUAGUUUAAGAAAAAGAUUUUUUAUUUUUUAUGUGAUUGAACUUGGAAUGAAUCUCUAAGCUACCUACGUAUCCAAGAUGGGAUCAAGUUCUAACAUAGUCACAAUGCAGUUCAAGAUUUUUUUUUUUCUUUUUUUGUGCUCUAACUUUUGUCAAGACUAAAGAUCUUAAUCUUGCAAGCAUGUCCUAACUUUUGUCUAGGUCACCUUUCCAAGUUUUCAACUUAGCAAACAUUUUUUUUUUUUGUUCUCUAACGUUUGCCAAGACAAAAGAUUUUAAUCUUGCAAGCAUGUCAUAACUUUUACCUAAGUCAGAUUUUUAGGUUUUCAAUGUGGUGGAUUUUUUUGUUUUUUAUUUUUUAUUUUUUAUUUUUUGUGUCGUAGGCAAUUUAGCUCAUACGGCCCAGAAGCGAUGUGUAGUUUGUUGGGAUUCAACCCUUAAAAGCAAAACAUGAUGUAACAAAGUUAGACUUAACUAUCCCCUUGCUAUCAUUUUGGUGUAUUAACAUUGAUUUAAACAUUCAACUCAUAUUUUACAUUGUACAUGACUUAGGUGCAUUAGGAGUUGCUCAUAAGAUACAUGGAUUCCUUGUAAGUAGAUGAGUUAUCCAUAGUCAGUUCAUGGAUUUGGGCAAUCUAGUAGAGACUGUAAUGCACCACCUCUUAAUUGAAGAGAUGACUUGUCUUGACAGUUGGGAUAGGUUUCCUAUGGUGAGUGCACUAGUAUAUAUGAUGCACAUUGGAUAGGACCUACGGUAAAUCAUGAGCAAAGCUAUCAAUUGUCAUGAUUCACCAAGUUACGAUACUGCAUGGACUCUCAAUCUUGAGAGGACAUUGAACCUGUGCCAAAAUCAACAAAAAGCUUUCACCUAUAGAUGAGACCUUAAAGUGAUCAUAUAUCCCUAUGGAUUGAGUCACUAUUGAUGAAGGUUGGUGGUAAUAGGUAUUCUCAAUAGAGGCACCAUGAUAUCUCAUGAGAUUGAGACGGUGUGUCCCCUUGGGUGAUACAAAGGACAUGUGAUCAUAAAAUCUGUGACCAUAGUAAUUCUUUUAUUGAAAUUUGACAUAUACCCCUUCGAGCUAGAGUAUGUCAGUUGAUUACAUAAUAAGUGGCAUCUAUAACUUAAGGAUUUGAGAGGUAAUCUUGAUAGGUGAUAGCACUACCUUGUUAGAUUAUGGACACCAGUUCAUGGGGAAUCUACAUGCAGUGGAUGAUAUGUCACGAACGCGAGCUUCAUAUCGUUGUUAUUAACAUAGGAUACUGGAGUGCAAUUGAUUCUCUUUAGUAGAAUGUUGAAUCAACUUCAAAAUGGAUUAUGAGGGAGCCAAUACUCCUAUGGGUCUUAAUGGUCCCCACUCUGAGCUCAUAUACCAUGAUGACACAGUUUAUGAGGGUUUGAUUGGCUUUAUGUUCAUUUUUGUGCAUAAGGGCAUUUUGGUAAUUACACAAGGUUACAUAGGGGAUAGUCAAUAAGGUCUUUAGAUUGGGCCAAUUGAUUAAUUAGAUGACCUUAUGUGGUUAAUUAAUCAAUUAUGAUAUGUUUAGGCUAGAUUAAAUGACCCAAGCCUUGAUGAAUUUAAGUCACUUAAGCCUAGCAGAUAACCUUAUAAAUACCCUCUUAUGGGUUAGGGUUUCCUAAUGACUUUCAGUUAAUCAUCUUCCAUCCCUAGAAAGAGAAAGAGAGCCAAAUCUUUCUCCCUUCCAUUGCCCACACUUUGGUAUGCCAAGAUCAUGGUUCAAGUCACUGGGAGGAAGAUCUUGGGUGUACAAGACCUUCGGACUCUUUAAGUUUCUUCUUCGUUGGAUGAAUUUUUAUUUGGGACACAUCUAGAUCAUAAGUAUGUGUUAGAAAAUUUGGCUAAUUCAACUUAAGGUAAUCACUCUAGAGGAGGGGUGAAUAGGGUGAUGAUCUUUUUUUACAAAUUUAAAUUAUGUGAAUGCAAGAGACAAUUAUACUAUGCAAAUAUAUAGUAAAACCAUAUAAAAAUAAUUGCAUAUAAAGUACAAGGGUAGAAAAUAGAGAAUAUAAACACAAGAUUUUUAUAGUGGUUUGGUGCAACUCGGCCUACAUCCAUUCUCCUCUAGCUUCAAUCCCAAGUUUGAGGUUCCACUAAUUCAAGGCUUCCAACCUAACCCUUCAAGCAAUACAAUUGGAUUAUGGUUCCAAUCAAACCUUUUGGACUUUUGGCUCUAAGCACCUUUUACAAUCUUUGAUUCGUGCCUAACUGGUGUUUGCCCUGUUGAUUGGUGUUCAAUCAACUGAUGUGCUUUGAUUUCAGUCCUCAGACGAGAGUAAUCAACAAAAUUUAUAAACCUAUUUCACCAUAUACUAGGGUAGCAUUAGCUAGCAUAGCAUAGUGGCUCUAGGAUCGUCCACAGGGAUGGGUUUUCAAAUUACAAUUGAUAUUAGUUCAAAAACUGAAUUGGUGUUUUUUCUUUUCAAGGUUAGCUUUAAAAGAAAACAUAAGUAUGUGUGAAAAGGUUGGUUUUAAGUGAAACCAAAAAUAAAGUAACUGAAAUUACUUACAAAGAAAAGUGCUUCUUGGAGUUUUAGAUCACUAGGCUCAAGUUCCUUAUACAAAAAGAGAGAUUCCGAUCACUUGGAUCUUUUCCUAGCAUUGGGGAUUUAACAUAUAGUUAUUUCCCGAACCGGUGCGGUACAGAUGCUUCCCCUUAAUGGUUUCAAACACUAAAUCUCUAUCACUGAAUCAUCUUGUAAUGGUUCAUACCUCUCACCUGGUAUUGGUCAUUUAAGGUGAUCAUUAACCUUGGAUUACCCGUCAAAAGCUCGCAAAAGAUAACUAAUGAAUGUCUCCUAGGAGUCCAAAAGCUUACCAAGUGUUGGCUAUUCUAGAUAAUCCUACCUUUAAACCAUCUCCCAAAAGCUCGCAAGAGAUAAACUAGUGGAUCUCAAUGGACGGAGUCCACUUGCCUUACCAAGUGUUGGCCCAAGUGAUUUUAAGGGAUUUUAAGUUAACUAAAAAGAUAAAAACCAUUAACGGGUCACACUUUCUCUUCAUUAAAACCUGAAACAAUGAAACUUCCACUUUUGUAUACGAAACCUUACCUAGCUUCCUUCACUCCAAGAAACAAAAAGCCUAGCCACUCAUCCUCUAGGAAAACAUCCUCAGAGUUUGAUUUGGUAGAAAUAAAAAUAAAAGAGAAAACCAAAUGUGAAGGUAAGGCCGAGCAGAGCUCUGUGUAUUACUUUAUGAAAAACUAUACAAAAUUUGUCUCUAAGAGAAACUCCCCCGAGAUCUCUUUUAAAAGAAAAUUACAAUAGAUAUCAUAUAAAGAGGCUAUUCACCCCUCUUGCUAACUUCCCAACCAUGAAAACUUGUCAAUGGUGGGUUACAAGGAGAAAAUAGGGAUUUACACACAAAUAUUUGAAGAUAAACAUCAAACUGAGUCGGUGCGCAAAUAUCUCAGAUUACAAGUGGAUUUCGCAAGUUCAAACGCAACUUGCAAAAAUUUUGCAAGUUGAAAUUAUGGUUUCGCAAGUUGCGAAAUUGUCCUGCAACUAAUCAGCUCUCUGUCCUACAACAAUUCCUUUCCUCUUCCUAUUUCGCAAGUUGUGAGAAUUUCGCAAGUUGGAUUCCACAACUUGCAAAAUUGUUGGAUGGUUGAUUUCUUUUGUGAUUUUCUUCCUUGCAUCCUCAUUUGGCUUUGGCAAAGGGUUAUGAAGCUCCAAAGCUUAGUUUCUUCAUGAAUUUGAGCUUCAACUUGCUUUGCCAUGAACUAUACAAAGAUCUCCCUCAUUCUUGGAUUGCUUUGGUGAUAAAAAAGCUAUGAAAAACACCAAAACUUAACACAAUUUGAUUAGAAACGAUUGUAAGGGUCUUUAACAUGCCAAUUGAGUUAAAAGGUAAUAGCUACUACUCAAAAGUGUUUAAAAGAGUUAAUUACAAGCUAUAAAAUGACCCUUUUUGAAGUUCAACCCCUUAAGUGAUACCCCUUAAGUGAUACCCCUUAAUUCAAGAGAUGUCUUACUCUUAAACAACCCCUUAAGUGAUACCCCAUACUUGAGAUUCCCUAAGUGAUGCCUCACACUUAGAUUUUUCAUCUCAAAGAUUUACAAAUGAAGAUAGGAAAUAAUCUCACAAAAUCUUAAUACAAAACAUUAGGCUCAAAUGAUACAAGAUAAACUAUGAUUGAAUGGUGCACUAAUAAUAUGCAAGUUUUAAAACAAUGAGUACUAAAAAACACUCUCCUAAGGUUCAAAUAUAUUCAAGAAAGAUUUAAGAAGGUUAAACUCUUGAAACAAUAAAGAUUGAAACCUUUUUAUGGAGGAGAAAUGCCAAACUAGUUGUUGGGGGUUUGUCCAGUCGAGUUCUGGUUUGACCGGUUCACUAACCGUUAGCAUUUAAUGCAUGAUAGGUGAUCAUUGGGCCUUGACCAUCCCUCGACCAGUACUCAACCGGAUAAAGUUCAACCUUAAUCAAUCGAAUAAGCAUUCUAGAAUAGAGAGAAGGUUUUUGCACCUUUCAAUCAGUUGAGUUGAACAAAUAGACGGAUUCCUUAUCCAGUUCAACCGGUUGAGCCAUUUUUGGCUCAACAAUCAUCAUUUUCAACUUAAAACCUUUUAAACAAGUUUAGAAAGCAUUUGACACAAGGAUUUAGUUGAAAACAUUAAAUCAUCCUAUUUUUAAAAGAUUUAAAACAAAAUACCUCUUGAAUGAUUUUGGUGUAUAAGUAAAUAAUGUAAUGCAUGAAAAACCCAGUGCGCCAACAACCUUACAAAGAGAUCUUAUGAGGCUUAGGUAUUGAAAAACACUUCUCUUUAAGGCAGACAACAUCGUGUGAAUACCAAAGGGGAACUCUACGUUCCUAGGGAAAGAUGCCUCGUCAGUACGUCUUGAGGUUGUUCACUAACUUCGGGGUUACCGGCUUUGAGAGGAGCCCUUUGAUGACAUUUGGGCAUGCAACUCUUCAUUUUCUUCCUUGAUUCGCCUUGUUUGGUGGAUCAAAGAUUGCAUAUGCCAGUCAUUUUUGCACUAGGUUCUCUCCAUGCUUUCACGCCAGCCAAAGUAGCUUUCGUUACCCAUAGUUGAGGAUCGGCUUCUAAAGGGUACUAACAUCCUUAGUCAUUCCCACAGAUGACACCAAUGUUGGUUCUGAGUCGGCUGAAGUCAAAUUCAUCCAACUUAACGGAAGUUUGACAACCUUCCUCCAUUUUUUGUGCCUCUUAGAGAAUCCACCUAGCAGUAAUGAGAUUGGGCGAACUCCUUUCUUGCACAAAAGAAUGUUCAGAUGAGUACUUCGGGUACGCCCUUCGAAGCUUAAGUGAGGCAAAAAUAGCUCAAACUACUUAAUGAGAGAGAGUGGAUAGGUGAAUAUGUGCCUACCUUGUUCGUGCUUUUUGAGGGGUUUAUAUAAUGUUGAUGAGAAUGCCACUAUAGUGCUUACUAGACACUUUAACUUUCUUCUAUAAUGAUGAUUGUCUUGCAGGCGGUUGGGCAAUCAUCAAAAUUUUGGGUGGCUGAUAGGUGCCAUCAACUAACGUGCCAUGAUCUUAGACCAUGCAGUAACCUGUUCCCUCAGUCUGUUGAUGGCCUAAGGUUAUGUGCAACAAUUAAUUGACAUGGACUUGAGGGCUAGAAGAGGUCCCAUCGGCCGUUCACAUGUCAAGUGUGAAUGAUCACUCAUGCUAGUGGGUCUUGAAGAUUUGACUAGACAACCUUACCUAUUUGGGAGGUCCAACCUCCCAUUGCCGUUGUUUUGGCCUUAUAGGAGAAAAGGGCUUUCUCAUGUAUGGUGCUAGAGGGACUAGUCGUGAUCCAGAUGAGUUGCAUACCCAUGCUAGAUGGUCGAAGUGUCCGGGUUGGAAAUGGAGGGAAGCCUCCCACAAAUAUGAGGGAGCCUUAUGAAAACGGAUCCUUAGGGCUUAAGAAGGGGUUUUCAAUUUUAAGGUUUGCCUUUUCACCCAAGGAUGUGAAUGGGAAGAUGAGGCGAAGUUAAAAGAUUGGUGAAGCAAAGUGAGGGCAAGGUAGGGUUUGAAUAAAGGAAAGUAUACACUAUUAAUGAAGAUGAUAAUCUCUAGAAAGAAAAACUAAGGUAAACUAGGGCUUUAAUAAUAAUUUUCAAUCUACACUAGUGAAGAGGAUAUCUUCGAAAACCAAAGUUAGGGCUUCAAUAACGAAUUUCAAUCUACAAUGGUGAAGACAAUAAUCUUCGAAAACCAAAUCUAUAAUGAUGAAGAUGAUUGAAAACUAAAUCUAUACUAGUGAAGACGAUUGGAAAGCAAAUCUACACUGGUGAAGACAAUGAAACCAAAUGUAGGUCUUCUAAACUAAACGCUUUUAAGGAUUUUCCUUUUUUUUUUCCUUUGUUUUCAAGAAAGGCAAACUCUUUAGAAAACUAAAAAAACUAAUGCAUUCUUAGAUCCAGAUCACUAUUUCCAACAUGGUAUUUGGAUUGCCAGCUUGCAUUUUUUAUUUUUUUAUUUUUUUAAUAGUCAUUGGCAUUUUAGGGAUUAUUGAAGGAUAAUAUCAUUCAGCUCAAUUUCCCAAAUUAGUUAGGUCUUACACUCAAAUGUGAAACUUAUAUGGAUGUUAGGCCAAUUAUCAAACUCAUCUGCCCUAAAACAUAAUUUCCCUUUUUUAAAAUAGUUGUUAAACAUCUAUCCCAAACACGUUUAACCCUUUGAAUUGCUUGUAUGUUAACCUUGUUUCCUUUUCUUCAUGCAACAUGGCUUAUUGAUGGUUGCAUUGAAUCAUUAUCAUUCACCAAUUCCAUGCAACUAUGGACUACAUUUCAAAUCCCUCGAACAUAAAUGGUAAUUCCAAAACAACUCAAGUAUAAUCUUUUCAACCCUUUCAAAUGAUUUAAUUAAUUGAUUUUUGAAUAUAUUCAUAUAUUUUUUUGAGCAAUUUUUAGGCAUAUAACAUAAAUCUCUUUUUUAUAUAUAUAUAAAAGGUUUUAUAUUUUAUAUUACAAUUUCCUUUUGUUUUUUCAUCUAAAAAACAAAACAUAAAACCUUAAUAAACGAGUUUUGUCACAAUCCCUUAACAAGUAAUCUAUUUUUUAAAUUACUUUAACAUUUUUAGAUAUAUUGAUUCAAUCUAAUUUACUUUUAAUAUUUUUUAUAAAAUAUUUUUACUUUAUAUGACUAUAAAUUAAUUACUAUUGAUUGCAUAUUAUAGAAUAUAUAUUCUAAAAUAUAUCUUAUUGACAAUAUAAUCAUAAGAUGUUAUAUCCAUAUCCUAACAUAUUAUAUACUUUUAUUUUGUGCAAUUAGCAACAUGGUGGGAAGUGGCAAGCAGCUUAACGGAAAUGUCAUGUGCCAAUGUGCCAUGCGUGUCCCUUCCCUUAGUGAGUCUGAACUGCUCCAACAUUUCCGACAUGUUAUUUUUUACUUAGCUCUUAAGUAUUUUCGUCUCGUUUUCGUUAACCCCAUCACAUUUCGCCACAUGGAUCUAAGCCUCAUGGUCCUUUCGUUCGUACAAUGAAUGUUCCCCCAAUUCCUUAUCUACACUAAAACUCCAUACUCGCCAUCUACUCAACCACUUCUCUACUCUAGAGUUUGGGUCCUUUAUCUCUGCACGUGUCUAUGGCUUUUCACCCCAACAAGUAUGGCAUUACAAGGGCAAUAUCGUCAUUAAAGACCCAAAAGGGAAACCAAUGGCAUUAUCUUCCUUUUGGUCUAUUCUAUUUAUAUUGUAAGUUAUUCGUGAUGACUUCUCCCAUAAAAGCUAAAAACCACUCCAAUAGAGCACACUUCACUUCUUCAUUUUUUUUUUUCCAGAUAAGCUCAGAAAGCCCAGCUCAUCCCUCAACUCCCCGAUGGGUUUGAUGAAUGUUCUUAAAUUCUCAACUGCAUGCUUUGAUCUUCUUAUCUGGUAUAUUGUCCACGCAUUUUCUUGUCAUUGGAAAAUUUUGGAAAAUGAAAUGGAAUUCUAUGUUUGAUGACAAAACUGGGAUUUGCUUUGAUUUCUCCAUGUUGGUUUUAUCCCUUUUGUUUGAAUUGUCCACAUUCUUGUCAUUGGUUGUUAGUUAUUUGUUUGGAUUUCUACUUGUAGGCCUCUGUUUGCACUGGGUUAUCCUCUAUAAAUCUUGGUCUUACACACCAAGAUAUGAUGAUUCAUUUACUCUUUUCUUGUUCUAUGAAUUCUUAGUUCUGUUACAUUUAUUGGGUUGGAAAACUGAAAAAGGAAAGGAUUAUUCGUUAUUAUCAUAAUAAUCAUCAACGUCAUCUCAAUUAUUCACAGAUGUGCAUCAAUUCAGGUAAUUGAGACUAACUCGAUCUCAGACAUUCAGAAGUUGGUGGCAUAUUGGGUUCUAUUUUCCUUGAUUUCACUUUUUGAUCGUACUUUUUCCAAGCUCCUUGAAUGGUAAUUUUGUUCAACUUCAUUCCAUCAUAUGUGGCUCUAUUUGUUUCAUUUCUUUGCCCUUCAGGAAUUUGGAGUUGCCUUUUUUAGUUUUCUUCCCUGUGAAAAUAAUCGAGAUGUUUAAUGUUCCAAGCCUCCAUGUAUUUUAUUUUCCUUCAUUUCUCUGCUUUGAUAAAUCCCCAUGAUUUGAUCAGCAAAAAGGCUAUAACAUUUGACAAAGAAAUGCUUUAUUUUGGUUUUUUAAGUACAACAAUUUUCAUUUGGAGAAAUGGUCUAAAGGGUAUCGGUGUUUGGAUGAAUCAUGGAAUUUUCUCGCUAAUUUGGGAUUUAUUCUCAAUUUCAAUAUCAUUGUGGAUAUUUCAAAAAUUAAUGAAAUAUAUAUGAUGGAAUGUGAUUUUCUUGUUUAAGAAAAGUUUUUCUUUAAAAAUUUAGGUAACCCUGACCUACCUUAUUGUGCUACUCGAAACACAAAACAAAAGUACAAGUAAUUUAGUAACUAAAUUGCACACUUUUUGAUAGUUCAAGGAAGUGGUGUUAGCUUUGGAAAUAAGAUGGAUCUACUAGUUUUUAUUUCUCAUCUUUAUAGGGAACUUUCCAUAAUAUAGCUUAUAAAUACCAUAAUCACAGUGAUGAAUAAUUGUCUUGUUUGAAAGCAUGGUUGCACUUAUUUGCAUGGAAUUUGUCUGCGUUGAAAUUAAAUUAAGCUUUAUGCAUCAUUUGGAUGCUGAGAAACAAAUGAAAAUAGAAAAUUCAAAAUUUGACAAGUUUGUGUAGGGAAAUUGGAUCUAAUCUCUUAAUCGAAGCUUAAUUAGGGCAAAUGUUGAUCCUCUUUGGACCUAUUGAAAGCUCUAAUCUGUGCACAAUUCUAAUGUUUUUGUUUCCUUAAUUUCUUUUUCAACUUUUCAACAAAGCAUCAAUUUGCUAUAAUAAAUGAGAACCAACUUGACGAUGAGAAAAAUGACUGGUGAUGAUGUCAUAGAGAAUCGCAGAUGAGAACAACCAAAAAUACUAGGAUUGGUACCACUGAUGGUAAUGAAGAAAACACAAAAAUGGUGCAAAUGGUGAACAGGAAACUCAAAAUGGAAUGGGAAAAGAAACCUAAACAAUAGUCUCCUAUAUAAAGCACACAACAUGUACAUCGAGGCAUCUGAAAGGACACGCUGCCUGAGAAGUCACUCUAAUUGAUGUGACUCCUCAUGACGUGGGUGGUGGACAUAUGUCCCAUGGUGCCAAAAAUUUCAAACACUCAAGCAACCGAAUACUUUCACUUAGUCAUUUAAAGCCUAGCUAGACUCAAUUGCAAGAAUUAAGGGCAUUGUGGGAUGCUCACCACCGUCUAUCAUGGUCCUCAAACACUGUCUGGUGUGAGACAUAUUGGCACAAGAGCCAUGUAGCUUCUCUAUCCACCCCAAGAUACUCCUAGGGUAGCAAACGAACACAAUCCGACCAAACACUAUGCAUUCCUACCCUACAAGCAUUAAUUUCAAUGAGCAAUAAGUGUAUUAACACAUUAAUGAAUGCAACCGUUAUAACGCUAAAACGCCAUACUUUAAGGUUCAUCAAGACACAACAACCAUUAUGGGCCGACAAUUAUUGGCGUUAAAUAUGGUAAUGCGCAAUCAAAGGCUCAAUUAAGGCCCUUUAGAAGACGUUACUAUUGGGCAAAGAUAAAUAACCAUUUUUUACCACAAGAAAGUCUGAUGCCAUUUUUUUCACAAAAACUUUUGCUUAAGUCUUCCAUCUCUAACCUAAGCUUUGAAGGGGUGUACUUGGAAAACCUAUCCGAACAUUCCUUUAUGUAGGUGCAAUCAUCGUUUAUGUCACGCGAAGGCUAGUCAAAGACCUUUAUUGGUCGUGCACCAAUAAAUCUAUUUAGUAUAUCUCAUUUAUCCGUUCAAGUGAGAUGAAGGAGUGACCUAAAGAUAGAUUGGAAACAUCAUAGUUUCUUAUAUUGGUAAGGCAGCAACAACCUCGGCUAGUGCAUCAACCUGCUCGUUUUCCUCUAGGGGUACGCGUUUGAUAAACCAUUCAUUCAAUUUUUCUGUUCAAGUGUACCAAAGAGAGGUAAUGAGCCAUGCAUUCAUCUCAAGCUUCAUAUUUUAGUUAGAUUUGUUCACCCACUAGUUGUGAAUUGCUUUUGAUUUCUACUUUCAUGGUUGUGAGAGCUAAGGCUAGAUCGUCUCAUAAGAAUUGCUUCAUAUUUUGCCUCAAUAUUAGAUACUGGAAAGUUGAGACAGACGACUUGUUCAAUUUGCUCUCCUGUAAGGAAUUGUUGUGUUAGUCCUAUCCUAGCUUCUGAUGUUCUAGAGGCUUCGUCUACAUGGAGAACACGCCAUUGUUCUUCAUUGUUAGACCUUGUCCAUUUUUGGGGUGGUUCGACUAUGAAAUCAAUGAGAACUUGCUAUUUGAGAUACUAAUGAGGUUUGUACCGUAUGUAAUAUUCACUCAAUUUGAUUGCCCAAUUCACCAUUCGACUAGAUAGAUUUAGCUUGUGCAACGUGACCCACAACGGUUGAUUUGUCAAGACCGUUAUUUGGUGCGCCUGAAAAUAUGGACAAAGCUUCUUGGCAGCGAUCCGUAAGUUCAGAGCCAUUUGUUCCACUUAAGAAUAUCGUGUUUUUGUGUCAAUCAUAGCUUUUCUCACAUAGUAAAUAAGUCUUUGUUCAUUACUCUAAUUGUGUGGAAACAAUAUGACAUUGACAGCAAAGUUUGACACAACCAGGUACAUGUAUAACUCUUCUCUAGCUUCAAGACUACUUAAGAUUGGUGGCUUCGUAAGAUACUGUUUGAUGUCUUUAAAGGCAUGCUCACACUCAUCCAUCUAACUAGACAUCUUUGCUCCCUAGAGUUUGCUCAAGAAAGGUCUGAGCUUAUUUAUGAAGCGUGUUAUGAACCAACCUAAGGUGAUUAGACACCCAGUUAGACGUUGCACUUCCUUCUUGCUAGUAGGAGCAGGGAUUUCUAACACUACUUUCACUUGAGCCAGAUCGACUUCAAUACCCCCUUUGAGUCACCAUGAACACAAGAAACUUCCACUCACUUACUCUAAAUGCAUAUUUUAUUGGAUUAAGCUUCAUGUCAUACCUGCACAUUAAACUGAAUGCUUCUUCCAAAUGGAGGAGCUUCUUGGAACGAGUUAUUCUCUUAAUGACAAUGUCAUCGAUAUAGACUUCCAACGUUCGACCUAUCAAGGGCUUAAAAAUAUGGGUCAUCAACUGUUGGUACGUAGCUCCAAUGUUCAUUAACCCAAGCGACAUGAUCUUGUAAAAGUACAACUCCUUAUGUGUAAUAAAUGUCAUCUUCUCUUUGUCAUGUGGAAACAUUGGUAUCUGGUGGUAUCCAAAAGAAGCAUCAAGAAAAGACAACAUUCCAUGCCUGGUUGUGGCAUCGACUAUCUAAUCUAUCUAGAGCAAUGGGAAGCUAUCUUUCAAGCAGACUUCAUUCAUAUCCACGUAGUCUGCGCACACCUGCCAUUUUUCUCCUUUCUUGGUACCACUACCACAUUUGUUAACUAGUCCAAGUAGGUCACCUCCUUGAUAAAUCUUCCUUUUAAUAGCUUCUCAACUUCUAUCUAGAUAAUUUUUUGAUGAUCCAACUAGAAACGUCAGACUUUAUAUUGUAUGGGUCGUGCUGUAGGAAGAAGGUUCAACUUAUGAGAGCUCACCGCUAGGUCUAUUCCAAGCAUUUCCGAAUGAAUCCACACGAGGAUAUCCUUGUUUUUACAAAGCAUUUCACCAACAUUACCACAUUCAUCCCUAGUUAGCAAAAAAUUAGCGUAAGUCAUCUGCUUAUUAUUUUUCGACAAAGAUAGCUAUUGUAAUAGGCUGAUUGCCAAUGAGUCUCUAUCCUCUAGUUUUCCUUCGACCUAAUUCUAUAAUUGUUAUUAGCUCUCUCUUGAUGAUUUGAGUUCAUCUUUAGUUGGGCCUGAACUCCAUCGCCACUUAGUAACACUACUAGGUGGCUAAUUGGAUUCCAUGUGGAUCCACUUACCCAAAUUCUGUCAGGUAGCUCACCAUCUUAUGAUAGGUGGAUGGAAUAACUUUCAUCUUAUGUAGGUACGACAACCUUAUGAUGGUGUUGUACGACGGUAAAUCCUCUACUAUAGAAAAUCAUACGUUGAGAGUAGGCGGGUUGGCUUGGACAAGAAGUACCACGUCGCAUAGUGAUAUUGUGGCAACCCUAUUAAACCCAAACAAAAGUCGAACUAGAUUUUCUAAGGCAGAUGACGAACAUCCCAUUUUCCUGUAGGUUGACAUAUGCAAUAAAUUGGAAUGAUCAUUUUAGGAAGGAUCACUUGAUUAAUGUUAAUUGAAGGGAAAGUGAUUGGGUCAUUGACUGGUCGGGCACUUUCGACAGUAAAUGUGCACUGAACUGCACUUACUCUUUCCCUCCCUGUAGUCGCACAGAGCAUUCGUCUCCUUUGUUGUUUGGAGUGAUAUUUGUCAUCUACUAUUUCCCCAUGGAUAUAGUUAAUCACUACUCGAUGUGUUGUGGGAGAGUCAGGAACUCACUCUGACACUUCACGUGUCAUUUCUUUAUGUCCACCAGUUGCUCAGACAUACAACUUGAGAUGUCCGGUAAUGAUUAGUUUCUCCACCAAGUAGUGCAAAUUUUUGCACUCUUCUGUGGUGUGCCCAUGCUCCUUAUGAUAGAAUCAUCGCAAUCCUCGAUCAUGCUUGGACGAAUCAGUUUUGAUGGGCUCUAGCCACUUGAACUCGAGCAGCUCUCAAAUCAAGAGGAGAAUUCUAUCAUAAAAAAUGGUCAACGGGGUGAGCCUAGGCGAUUAUCAUUGUUGUUGUCUUUCUUGUCCUUGAUUAGUCUAUCUAGACUGGCUUGAGGGCUUUAAGCUCUUAGCCUUCUUUUUUAAUUGCUCGGUUUAUAACCAGGAUUUGUUGAGAGGUUACCUAAACAUCCUCCUCAAGCAUGACAUGUUUGCCCACUCGUCUAAAUAGGUCAUUCAUUGUAGUGGGCAACUUUUUGGCCAUGGACUUGAAGAAUUGAGUGCUUGGACUGAUGAUCCAUUUGAAGAUCUGCAGGAUAGCAUCCAUGUUGUAAGAUUCCAUCUAGAACACCGCUUGUCUGAAUCACUUCAUGAAGUCCCUUAGCGAUUCAUUCUCCUACAUCUGAAUGUUCUAUAAGGUGCUUAUAUUCUGCUUUUGGCGAGCAAAACAUAAAUAAUGGCCCACAAAGGCCUCUAAAACAUCUGUCAUCUGUUGUUGGAAGUGCAUCAGGUGAACAAAAGAGUCACCAUCCCAUAGUAAAUAGUAAAUUUGGGCACCGGAAACCCCUGGGCAGCUCAUAACUAAUGAUAUGUGGGUCAAACGACAUGAAGAGCAUGUCAUCCAAUCAUCUACUUAUGGAGUCAAGAGGGGCUUUUGUCAAUGGGUUAUUUGUCGAUUGUAGUUCUAGUAUUGAACAUUAAGGCAGACGGCUUGGUGAUGCCUCAUCGUUUGAUUGGCCUAAUUGUGCUUUCAAGGCCUCCAAUAUGCAUGGCGAUGCUAGUGUUCUUCUCUCCUGAUACCCAAGAUAGGCUUUCAGGGCAUCUGAGAGACGUAAGCCCCAUUCUUAACCCAUUUUCCAUUUUUCUCCAAUAGAGCUUGCAACCUCUUUCGCUUGAGUUCGAUCGACUACUGAAUGCACUAGUUCAAGUAAUGUUAGCGAACUGCUAGUAGACAAUCCCUCAUCCACUGUUUGUAGAGACGACUUAGUGUAUCAUUGAAGAACUUUCAUUGUUUGGCUUCAAACUACUCUUGAAGUCGUCUAUUGGUUGGAGGUACGAUGACUUUUUUAUCAGCACCCCAUAGCCACUUGUGCUCGUAGCUCUUGGUUCUCUUGCUGUAGUUGUUCUGCCUGUUGGACAGGGACUACAUAGGUUAUUCAUAUUCUUCUUGCUUUUUUUCUAUCUUUCCUUGCCAAGCUUGGAAUCGCUCGUCAACAUUUGCAGAAUGAGUUGCAGGAGGCGUGUUAACCAUCGUGUUUUUUAGGCAUUUGUGGUUGAUUCCCAUAGACAAUGCCAAUGUUGGUGCACGACCAGUAAAAAAAGGUGUUUGGCUAGUCUCCAUGUAACAUAGAUGACGAUUGCACCUGCACAAAGGAAUGUCUGAAUGGGUUUUUCAGGUACACCUUUCCAAAGCUUAGGUCAGAAAUGGAAGACUUAAGCAAGAGUUUUUGUGGAAAAAUUGGUAGCAUACUUUUCUUGUGGUUAAGAAUAACUAUUUAUCUUUGUCCAACUAUAAUAUCUUCUCAGAUGCCUUAAUUGAGCCUUUGAUUGUGCAUUAUCAUCUUUAAUGUCAAUGAUAGCCAACCCAUAAUGGUUGUUGUGUCUUGAUGAACCUUAAAGGUUGGCGUUUUAACCUCAUAAUGAUUGCAUCCAUCAAUGCGUUAAUGCACUAAUUGCCUAUUGCAAUUAAUGCUUGUUGGGCAAGAAUGCAUAGUGCCCGAUUAGAUUGUGUUUGUUUGGUACCCUAAGAGUACCCUGGGGUGGACAAAAAAGCCACAUGGCUCUUGUUCUAACAUGUCUCGACUAGACAGUGUUUGAGGAUCAUGUUAGAUGGUGAUGAGCAUCCCACAGUGAAGACGUAUGAUGAAAGCAAAGGUAGGGCUUCUAAACCAAACGCUUUUAGGGAUUUUUUUUUUUUUUUCAACAAAGUUGACCUCUUCAAGGAAAAAAAAAAAGGUUAAAAAAACUAUUGCUUUUUUGGAUCCAAAUCACCAUUUCCAAUGUGAUAUUUGGAUUUCCACCAUGUAUUUUUUUUUUUUUUAACAGUCAAGGACAUUUUAUGGAUUAUUGAAAGAUAAUAUCUUUCAACUUAAUUUCCUACAUUAAUUAAGUCUUAGGCUCAAAUGUGAAACUUAAGUGGUUGUUAGGCCAUCAAACCCAUCUGCCCUAAAGUAUAAUUUCCCAUUUUCAAAAUAUAUAGUUGUUAAACAUCUAUCCCAAACUAUUGUAACCCUUUGAAGUGCUUGGUAUGUUAACCUUGUUUCCUUUUCCUUAUGCAACAUGGCUAAUUGAUUGUUGCAUUGAAUCAUUAUCAUUCACCAAAUCCAUUCAACUAUGGACUUACCUUUCAAAUCCCUCUAACAAAAAUGGUAAUUCCAAAACAACUCAAGUCUAAUGUUCUCAACUCUUUCAAAUGAUUUAAUUAAUUGGUGUUUGAAUAUACCUCUUAUAUUUUUUUAGAGCAAUUUUUAGGCACAUAACAUAAAUUUCUAAUUUUUUUUUAGAAAAGGUUUUAUAUUUUAUAUUUUAUAUUACAACUUCCCCUUUUUUUUCCAUCUAAAAAACAAAACAUAAAACCUUAAUAACCGAGUUUUGUCACAAACCCUUAACAAAUAAUCUAUUUUCCAAAAAUUACUUUAACAUCUUUAAACAUAUUGAUUUAGUAUACUUUACUUUUAAUAUUUUUUGAAAAAUAUUUUUAUUUUAUAUGAUUAUUAAUUAAUUAAGAUUGAUUGGGUAUGGUAGAAUAUAUAUUCCAAAAUACAUCGUAUUGAGAACAAUAUCACAAGAUAUUAUAUCCAUAUCUUAACAUAUUAUAUACUUUUAUUUUGUGCAAUUAGCAAUUGGACGGAAGGUAGGGAGCCGGCUUAAUGGAAAUGUCGCAUCUCACGUGUGUCCCUUCCCUUACCAAGUCUCAACAAAGGAUGAAAAUAUCGGUAAUCACGGAUAUAUCGGUACUUCGAUUUUACGGAUAUAUUAGAUAUAUCAGAGAUAUAUUGACGGAUAUUUUGGAAAAAAAUAUCGAUAAGCCUAAAAUUGAUCAAAAUUUAUAAAAAUAUAAAAAAAACUUCAUAAAAAUGUAAUUAAAAGAAGGUCGUAUAAGUUACUCAUGUUGAUCAUGUGAUAUAUCACGAGAUAUAAUCGAUUUUUGGGAAUUUCUCACGAAAAUAUCGCGACAUUUCUUCCUUGUCUCGACUGCUCCAAGAUUUCCUAUACGCCCUUCUUCGCUUAGCUCUUAAGUCUUUUCUUCUCCUCUUCCUCAAACCCAUCACAUUUCGCCGCGUGGAGCUAAGUCUCAAGGUCCUUUUGUUCGUACGAUGUAUGUUCCCCCAAUUCCUCAUCUACCUUGAAACUCCAUACUCGCCAUCUACUCAACCACUUCUCUACUCUAGAGUCUGGAUGCUUUAUCUCCGCGAGUGUCGAUGGCUCUUCACCCCAGCGAGUAUGGAAUUACAAGGGCAAUAUCGUCAUUAAAGACACAACAGGCAAACCAAUGGCAUUGUCUUCCUUUUGGUCUAUUUUAUUUAUGCUGUAAGUAUUCGUGCUUGACUUCUCCCGCGUCUCUUAUAAAAACUAAAGAAAACCACUCCAACAGAGCACACUUCAAGAAUCUUCUUUUUUUUUUUCUUUCCUCUUUCUCUUUACAUAUAUACUGAGAAAGCCCAGCUCAUCCCUCAAUUCCCAGAUGGGUUUUAUGAAUGUUCUCAAGUUCUCAGCUGCAUGCUUUGAUAUUCUUGCCUGGUAUGUUGUCCACGCAUUUUCUCGCCAUUGGAAAUUUUUGGAAAAUGAAGUGGAAUUCUCUGUUUGAGGACAAACAUGGGAUUUUCUUUGAUUUCUCCCUGUUGGUUUUAUCUAUAUUCUUUGGAUUACCCACAUUCUUGUCAUUGAUUGUUAGUCAUUUGUUUGGAUUUCUACUUGCAGGCCUCUAUUUGCACUGGGUUAUCCUCUGUAAGUCUUGGUCUUACACCUCAAGAUAUGAUGAUUCAUUUACUCUUUUCUUGUUCUACGAAUAGUUCAGUUACAUUUAUUGUGUUGGGAAACUGAAAAGGGAAAGGAUUAUUCUUUAUUAUCGUAAUAAUCAUCAACAUCAUCUCGGUUCUUCACAGAUGUUCUUCAAUUCGGGCAAUUGAGACUAACUCAAUCUCAGACUUUCGGAAGUUGGUGGCGUAUUGGGUUCUAUUUUCCUUGAUUUCACUCUUUGAUCAUGCUUUUUCCAAGCUCCUUGAAUGGUAAUUUUGCUCAACUGCGUUCCACUAUAUGUGACUCUGUUUGUUUCAUUUCUUUGCCCUUAAGGAAUUUGGAGUUGCUUUUUUCAGUUUUCUUUCCUAUGAAAAUAAUCGAGAUGUUUAAUGUUCCAGGCCUCCAUGUAUUUUAUAUUCCUUCAUUUCUCUGCUUUGACAAAUGCUCACAAUCUGAUCAGCAGAAAGGUUAUAACAUUUGAAAAAGAAGUGGUUUAUUUUUGUUUUUUUUAAGUACAAUAAUUUUCGUUUGGAUAAAUGGUCUGAAGGGUGUUUGUGUUUGGCUGAGUUCAUGGAAUUUUCAAGCUAAUUUGGGAUUUAUUCUCAAUUUCAAGAUCAUUGUGGAUAUGUCAGAAAUUAAUGAAAUAUAAAUGGUGGAAUGUGAUUUUCUUGUUUAAGAAAAGUUUUUCUUUGAAAAUGCGGGUGCACCAGACCUACCUUAUUGNNNNNNNNNNNNNNNNNNNNNNNNNNNNNNNNNNNNNNNNNNNNNNNNNNNAUCAGAUUCAACUGUGAUAGCCCGGAAUUUAAUUCAGUAUUCGACUCUUCUGGGAACAUGUUGGUUAUGGUUUCUCUCUCACUGUCCUCUUCUUUACACAUGACUUUUCAGUUGAGGAGCACAAAGCCUAAUGUUGAAGUGAAAGAGAUCAAAGCACCUGCAGCACCGGAGAAAAAAGGGGAACAGGUAAGUACUCUAAUGUGGCUAUUUAAUUUCUAUGGAGGCAGAUCCCCAGAGAAAUGCUGUUCAUGUAAAUUACUGAUGCAUUUGAUUCAAUGGCCACGGUUUUAAAAGAAAAACCACUUUAUGUAUGUUUCUGUGAAUGAGAGAACAAGUUUAUGGAUUAAAUGAUAUUUUUUAUGGUGAAAUAAUCAAUAAUUUUCAAAAUAAUAAUACAUUCCUG